rnacentral:lncRNA from 1 species
GUUUUUUUUUUUUUUUGCGGGAGAGAGGUUGCAUGCAUGUUGCGUGACAUGCUUGGCAGCAUUGGAUCAGAGGCAUAAUUUUAAAUAAUCGGCUAUAGUCUUUUUAGCAUGAUGCUUUCACAAAUAGUUCGCUAUAGUCUGCUAUUUUUCAUAGUCCGCUAUUUAAAACAUUGAUCAGAGGGGUUUCAGAAAAUUAGUGGAAAUGAGCAUCGAGAUCAAAGGUUUUUGGGUAUGCGCACCUGUGCAGCUCUGUCGUUCUGAACAGGAGUAGUAUCACGUACCCUUCCUCCUGUGGGCGCCUCGAAGCCUAUUGGCCGACCCAUCAUCCAUGUCAGGAUCACACAGCUGAGACAUCGCCAUGCAGAGGUGCGUGCUUCUGUUGGUAAUGUGACGCAAGCCAUUUGUGUGAGCGCUAAUUAACUUAUAUGGUAAGACUCUAUGGGAGGCUCCGACAAUAAAACUAUUUUAGAAGACACGGCAAUAUUUUACUAUAUGAAGUGAAAAUGUACAAGUUGUAGAUGGACAACUAUGGCAGCUCUUCUAUACAGUUAUUUACUGUCCAGCGAGGCCCUUAGAGGAUAUCUAAAGUAGUGAGAAUGUACACCUUGUUUUUCUAGGCGAACAUGACUUGGAUGAGUCAAUAGCAUAGUAGCCAUAGUUAUCUAAAAAAGGCAGUGUCCCAGGCAACAAGGUAAAUUGUUCUGCUGUCCAAUGCAUUGAAGCUAUAAUGCAUAUAUGCUCAGUAAAUUGUUUAGAUUUGUCUGAGACUAAUGAUGACCAACUUAGUGAACUGUUAAACCUGAAAGUUUGUGUUUUCCAUUUAACACAGUGAAUUGUUUGCACAAUUCAGUUCCGUGUUGAUUGAAUGGACGUGACGUGAUGUUUUCUCCAGGUAACGGACUGAAGUGGAUUGACAUGGUUUCUGUCCAUCAUGCAGUUAUGUGCUAUUCUUCCUUGCUGCAGUGUUGCGCAUCUUUGCUGCUGUGGCUGACUCCAUGAAUAUGAAAGCUACAUUUACUCCUAAGCUAUGAGUGUCCUCUAACUUCCUUCCAUGAGAGGUAUUUGCUCUCAGUCCCGGCCAUCCUUAUUACGAGGGAUGUAGCAAGGUUCAAUGGAUCAUGACGUUUGGACUAGAUUUGAAUCUGUAUCUACCAAAUCUGUGCGUACAUUUUUAUGCUAUAAAUUUCUUUUUCUUUCAGUAUCCUAUUGAAGUUCUAUCAGCCGACAGGUGCAUUGCACUGUUGAGGAGACACAUGCAUUUGUAUUCGAUAUUGAAGCGAGCCUGACACCCUGAAAGAACUAUACAAUGACAUUUGGCUAUUGCUUUCAGUAUUAGAGAAGCAUAGAAACAGAACUGCAGGGCUUACUGUAUUUUUAUGUGGCAUUCCUCUAUGCCAUCAUGCCAUACUGUUUAUUUUGAGCAACCUUUCUAUGGUAUUUUGUUGGACAGUUUUUAGUGUAAUCUCAAGCACCUCAAUAUAUGGUAAACAACUGCAUGCUUGGGUAUAUGUUCUAUUCUCAAUGUUGUAUUCCUUUUAUUUGCUCUGUUACUGUAGCAAUCAAAAAGAAUCGGGCACAAGCUCCAGUUAGUCCUGUACAAAAAUUGGUGUAGAAGUGUGGUCUAUGGAUUCCUUAUUUUGUCGAUUCAGACUUGGGAUUGUAGGAAAAAGUGUGGACUAUGGAUAAAUAACAACGUUUUAAAUAGCGGGCUAUGGCAUUUAGCGGUGACCCUAAAAAACAACUAUAACUGAACUAUAGCGGAGCUAUAGCGGCAAAUUGUACAUGAAAUCAUUUAGCGGCAACCCCCUCAAACAGCUAUAGCGGGGCUAUAGCGGAGCUAUAGCGAGGCUAUAGCCGGCUAUUUAAAACUAUGAUAAAUACCAGAACUGGAUUGACCAUGUCACAUCUUCACCAAGAGUCAUGGCACUGGCAUAUUCAAGCUUUGUUGUUUCCUUCGUUUCCAAGCAACACUCUUAAAGGCAAUAUAUGCAGGUUUAUCAUUCAUGUGAGAGAUAUGAAGGAUGAAACAAAAGUAAAAGGUGUUUAUGCUAACGGAUCAUCAUAAUUAGUUAGGAGUGUCUGUUGGUUUUAUAAACCCAGUAUCAUCCUACUCCUCGUAGUUUCUGUAUUGCCUGCAAAUAAUACAAUUUUCAAAUGAUAUUUUGUUAUGGUCAUAUAUAAAUAUUUAAAUAUUUAAAAGUUCCAGAGGUUCCUUGAGACGAGAUGAUGGCUGUGAUGUGCUAUAUGUUUACAUAGGAGAUAUUUUUUUCUCACAGUCGUGCGUUGCACGUGCAUUCUUACUAGUGUGAGCAAAGGACGCAGCCUGUAUGGCUGUAUCCAUUAAUUGCGAACUGCGAAGACAGCUAGCAAUGUGUGGCGUCAAAAUGUUCAAUUUGGAACCAUCUAGAAGAUGUGGCUGUAGGAAUUGUAGGAUGGCUAGAAUAUUGGGUUGUUGUAUGCUACUCCCUCCAUUUCAUAAUGUAGUGCUUCCUCUAUCCUCGUGCUUCAACUUUGACCGUAAAUUUAACUAUCAAGACCGAUUGCGGCGGAAGCAAAAAUUAUAUCAGUGAAUUCGUAUUCGAAACAAGUUUUUAAUUAUGUAACUUUUUCUCCCGCCGCAGUCGGCCUCGUUCGUUAAAUUUAUGGUCAAAGUUCGACAUCGGAAAGCGCGAACGCACUAUAUUUUAAAAUGGAGGGAGUAUAUUAAUCUGACCCUCAUAUGGGGUAUAUAAGAGUACACAUGGGAAGAGGAUUGGAGUAUAAGGCAAAUCAUUGUUGGUUUAAACCAAAUCUAUCUCUAUCUCUCCUAAUCCCUAACUAACACGUUUGUACUUCUAACAUUCCCCCUCAGCCGUAGUGUGAGUGAAGCGGACGAUUGGGGCUAAAUUUGAAGUCUUGCGCUUCCGCUGUCUUCUCCGCUGCGUCAUCAACAACUGCGUCUCUAAUGGGUUGACACAUAGGGCCGUGACUGUGUCCCCUUCUGGUGGCUCCCUUGACUCUCCUCUAUUCCCUCCCGCGGUCACAGCGGGAGUGGCGCGAACGCUGGUGAUGACGCGGACGUUGUUGACUGGAGUCUUUGCCGAUGUGUUGCUGUAGACCAAGCCAUUAAUGUCGAUGUCGAGGUAGCCGAUCAUGGUGAUGCAGCCGUGGUCGAUGUAGUCGUGGCCGAUGGUGUAGUCGUCGUGGAGGAUGAAGCCGCACAAAGUCGGAGGCGCAAAAAAAAUGCGCUAUGGCGGAGCUGUAGACGUGGACAAUGCACCUUGCGGAUGUCAGAGGGUGCCGUCGGCGAUGAGUCCGCCGAUUUUGUCAAGACCGGAGGAAGCCAUCGAGCACACAUCGGUUUUGCCAGAACCAUGUGGCCAUGUAGGGACGAUGCAGUCGUGCCGUCAUGGAUGACUCGGUCGAUUCUGUCGUCGUGACGCGGUCAAUGCCAUCGUCGAGGUCGCUUAUUGCAGAAAGGUGUGUCAGAGAACGCUAGGUGUCCAUCUUGUGCACAAGGCAGCGACGAUGUGUUGAUGAAGAUGUUGGUGAAGAUCACGUUGAUGAAGACCUUGACGAUGAAGUGUCGGCGAUGACGUUGUAGCGGCGUGUCGACGAUAAUGUGUCGCUUGAAGGCAUCCCACGCGGCGACGAAGUAUCGAUGCCGUGUCGCGUCGGAAAAGUCGAUGAAGAAUUGUAUGGAUUUCCACACCGGUCUGGCGUGUGGUUGAUGUCACUUCUCGUGGAUGUGCUCGACGAAGAAUGUGGGCUCGUAGCCUGGCAUGUUGGAGUCGUACAGCUUGAUGGAGAGGUCCGGCUCGGCGCAGAGAUGUCGGUGUAGACCAGCGCGUCCUCUAUGCUGAUGUGGUCACAGGGUCCCUGACUGUCGAUGAAGCACUGCUGGCCUUGCGUGUGUCGGUAGCAGCCGGUGAAGCAGCAGAGGAGGCGAGUCCGGUUCAGCAUGGAGUAUCAUGUCCUAUGUUCAGAGUCCAUGCCAUGCACUGCACGUGCAUCACGUAUAUGGCCAUGAGUCAAGACGUGUGUUUUUGCUGACACCUGAGUUGCAUGGAGUCGGCGAGUGCGUUAUCGCGGUACAUUAGUAGAAAAAUGGUCAUUUGUCUCGAUUUAUAUGGGUCUUUAGUUUCGAUUCUGAAAUCAGGAUUAAAGGAUCAUUACUAAAGGCCCCCUUUUAGCCUUCACAUAACCGCUGCAUAUGACCGCUGCACAUGAAAUCGGGAUAAGAACCGGGACACUAAAGGGUCGUUACUAAAGGCCCUCCACAUAACCGCUGCAUGGAGUAGAGAGGUCCAUCUUUAGUCUCGGUUGGAGCCACCAACCAGUACUAAAGAAAAUUUUAUAAUUUUUUUUAAUUUUAUCUGAAAAUAAAUUUGAUUUUUUUACUGAAUUUUCAAAUUUCUGAAUUAUUUUAACCUCUAAUCUCUAAUCAGCCCUCAUCGCUGCUCAAUUUAACCUUUAAUCUCUAAUCAUCCCUCAUCAUUUCAAAUCAUCUAACUUCCCGAACGGUCACCCAUCCUCUCACUACCCAGCCUGAGCACGCUUAACUUCCGGAUUCUAUUCUCCCUCGUUUCCAAGUCUGCACUUGUUGUUUUCCUAACAAUAGUAAGAUGUCAAUCCUAUUAACCCUCAGGAGUUUAGCUUAAGCAUGAAGUCACACAUUUCACUGUUUGAGUUUGAAACUAUCGUUCUAAAAAAUAAUAAUUAUUUAGUAACACUAAUAUUUCUUGAAUUAGUAGUUUGACCAUUGUUUGACCACAGUUUGACCAGAUUUGACCAUAAUUCAAAAAAAUGGAAUAAUUAUUUAGCAACACUAAUAUUCUUGAAUAAUUAUUUAGUAACACUAAUACUUCUUGAAUAAGUAGUUUGACCAUAGUUUGACCAGAUUUAACAAAAAUUCAAAAAAAACUAAAAUUUGAGCAUAACUUUUUUUUCCUUUUAGAAUUUAAGGAUUUCUAAAAAUUUGCAAACAGGUCAUAGGCUGUCAAAAUAGGAUGCGGAUUUUCGUGCUGAACAUUUUGAUAUAUUAUACGUUUUUUUUGACAUCAUAUGCAAAAGUUAUAGCCGUUUUACAUUUUCCCUACACAUUUUGCAAAACAUGUCCAAAUUUAAGUUUCUAAAUUUUCCUAACUAGUAGAUGUAGUAACAUAACUACAUCUCGAAGGAUUUUAACUUUUGAAGUUUUUAUCAUUUUCUUUUGCUUUUUACAAAACUGAAAAGGCGAUACACACAGGGAGGGGGGUAGGAUUUGAAAAUUGCACCAUUAGUACCGGUUCGUGGCACGAACCGGUACUAAUGCCUCAACCCCAUUAGUACCGGUUCAUGGCACGAACCGGUACUAAAGGUCUAACCUUUAGNNNNNNNNNNNNNNNNNNNNNNNNNNNNNNNNNNNNNNNNNNNNNNNNNNNNNNNNNNNNNNNNNNNNNNNNNNNNNNNNNNNNNNNNNNNNNNNNNNNNNNNNNNNNNNNNNNNNNNNNNNNNNNNNNNNNNNNNNNNNNNNNNNNNNNNNNNNNNNNNNNNNNNNNNNNNNNNNNNNNNNNNNNNNNNNNNNNNNNNNNNNNNNNNNNNNNNNNNNNNNNNNNNNNNNNNNNNNNNNNNNNNNNNNNNNNNNNNNNNNNNNNNNNNNNNNNNNNNNNNNNNNNNNNNNNNNNNNNNNNNNNNNNNNNNNNNNNNNNNNNNNNNNNNNNNNNNNNNNNNNNNNNNNNNNNNNNNNNNNNNNNNNNNNNNNNNNNNNNAAAGGUUAGACCUUUAGUACCGGUUCGUGCCACGAACCGGUACUAAUGGGCAUCGCACCCUUUAGUCCCGGUUCGUGGCACCAACCGGGACUAAAGGUCCCAUUUGAACCGGGAGUAAUGCCUGUACGGUGCCCUAUCCGCUCGAACCAGGACUAAUGCUCACAUUAGUCCCGGUUCGUAAUGCAACCGGUACUAAUGCUCUUUUCUAGUCGAACCAAAGCCCAUUUUUCUACUAGCGGUGGGCGCGCUCGGUUCUAGUUGAUGAAGCCGGCUAGAUCAGAUCGAAGCAUGGGAGGCUCCGUAUGGCCCGUUCUCACUCGUAAGUCUGAUCAAUUCGGUCGCUGCCCAACCAAAGCAGCAUUCCUACUGUGUGCGCGAUCGCAUGUCGCCGCUAUCGCCCACCGGGCGGAGUCGACGAGGUUGUAGCCGGCGCCCCGCGGUUCCAUGUAGCCGCGCUCGGGAGAUCACCCUCCCGUGAUCCUGACUUCCGUGGCGGACGUCAUAGUGCUCGCUGCAGAGGCGGAGUAGGCUUGACGUCGAUGAAGAUAGUUCGGAGGCCAGGUAGGCUUGACGUCCUUGAAGAUCGUUCGGUGGAGGCCAGUGUCCGGCGGCGCGUAUCGACGUAGAUUGGAAUCCACGCGUAUCACCCGCUGGGUGAGGACGUGCUCGUCACGCGGCCGCCUACUAACAGCAGCCUUGUGUAGAUCACGUCGGGAGAUGUCGGUCUUGUGGAGUAUGUAUUUUGUACUGCACGUGUAUAAAUUCACUUCAUACUAGCAUCGAAAGACAAGAAGGCAGUGAUCUGGUGGAGUUGUGACCCAACUCCUAGUCUUGAAUAGUUGAGGUAAAGGCCUUCUCUUGUAUUAUAUAUGCGUGCAUCAGCACCCCAAUCAAUAUAUUGUAUUGCAACACUAGUAGAAAAAGGGUCAAACGUGAAGCACAUUAGUGCCGGUUUGAAUUUGAGCCGGCACUAAUGUGUACAUUAGUGCCGGUUCCAACGGCUAGCCGGGCCGCUCUCAUUAGUACCGGUUCGUGGUGAACUUUUAGCACCGGUUCGUGCCACGAACCGGUACUAAAGUGAGUGGUGGCAGGAUGUUGUCAGUCCGGGGCCCCUCCAGCACCUUUAGUACCGGGUCGUAUCACGAACCGGUACUAAAGGUCGUCCUACAUAGACCCUUCGUCCACCCGAGCUCGCUCUGUUCUUCCCAUUUCCCCUCUCCUCUCUGUUCUUUUCCCUCUUCCUCUCAAGCUCAUCACACAUUUUGCCCAAAAUUUGUCAAGAUUUGAAGGCCCCCAUCCAUUCAAAUGAUCAUAAAGGUUAGCAACUUUUUCCUUUCAUCUCUCAUUGCUAGAUUAGCUCGUGCAAUGCUUUAUAUAGUGAUUGAUUUUUGAGUUUAGUAAUUUGGGAGGAAUUAUAUAUAUGUGCUAGUAUUUGAUUUAUAUGCAAUUUGAGGUCAAAAAUAACACUUAGUUUGCAUAUGUAGGUGUGCUUUACUUAGUACCUUCUAAAUCUCCGUCGUAACCACCGUCGAUCGCUAGCAAUGUCCCGUCGCCGGCACCACCUUGUGGUGAGCCUCUUGUUCAUGAAGUUUUAUAUAAAAAAUUGAUGUUUGUGUGAUUUGAAUAUAUAGUUACUCGUAUAAUUAUCUUACCCAUACGUUGUUUGUUAUACAUAGUGCCAUGGUUUUGAUAUCCGUCCCCGUCGGCCCUCGUCAGGGUUAUGAUUCGGAUGUGGUAUAUUCCCUUUUAAAACUAUUCAUUGCAUUUCAUGUUUAUGACAAAUUAUGCCCAUCAAGUUGACAUAGAUAUUUGUAUGUAGGAGGUAGUUGAACCGGAAAUUCCAACCGACCCUAUUGUCGAGAGGUUAAAUUUAGUUGAAAGAGAAAACGAGGAUUUGAAGGAAAAAUUGAAAAGAAUUGAGGGGGAGAAGAUGGAAUUGGAGUUGCAUGUUGCCGAUGUCGACGAUGAUCACAAGAUUAAGAUGGAGAAAAUGCGCUUGAAGAUUAGAAAGAUUAGAAAAUAUGCCAUUUAUAGUGAGGCUUGGUAUCAUUAUGUUGUUGGAUCAAUUGUUACCUUAGCUGCGAUCUUGAUCGCACUUGUUGUUGCAUUUAAAUUCUUUAGCUAGAGAGUUAUUUGUUUGUUGCAUUUAAGUAUUGUAUGAUCUUUAUGUAUGAACUUUAUGUAUUGUAUUAAUUUGAUGUUUUCGGUGUUGUGUAUUGAAGAUGAGCCGGCAAUGGAUGUACGAUGACCAAUACUCUCCCGAGUUCAUUAAUGGUGUGCGUACUUUUCUGCUUGUGGCUGAGGCAAACAAGUGAGCGGAUGGUUUUAUGCAUUGUCCAUGUGCUGGCUGCAAGAAUGGUCACAAUUACUCUACGUCAAGAACCAUUCACGCGUCCACCUGUUUGAUUCCGGUUUCAUGCCCCACUAUAAUGUUUGGACCAAGCAUGGAGAAAGAGGGGUUAUGAUGGAAGACAAUGAAGAAGAAGAGGACGACGACAGCUAUCCUGGCCAUGGGUUUCCUGAAUACGAUGAUACAACAAUGAGGGAAGAAGCUGAGCUGGUAAUGCGGGAAGAAGCUGAGCCGGCGAUGCGGGAAGAAGCUGAAGAAGAGGCAUCGGAUGAGCCCGUUGAUGAUCUAGGUCGGGCCAUUGCCGAUGCAAAGAGAAACUGCGCAAGUGAUUUGGAGAAGAAGAAGUUGCAGCGCAUGUUAGAGGAUCACAAAAAAUUGUUGUACCCGAAUUGCGUAGGUGACAAGAAAAAGCUGGGCACCACACUGGAAUUGCUGCAAUGGAAGGCAGAGAAUGGUGUAUCUGACAAGGGAUUUGGAAAGUUGCUGGUAAUGAUAAAGGAUAUGCUUCCAAAGGACAACGAAUUGCCCGAGAGUACGUACGAAGCAAAGAAGGUUGUCUGCCCUCUAGGGUUAGAGGUGCAGAAGAUACAAGCAUGCCCUAAUGAUUGUAUCCUCUACCGCAGUGAGUACGAGGAUUUGAACGCUUGCUCGGUAUGCGGUGCAUUGCGCUAUACGAUCAGCCGCGAUGACCCUGGUGAUGUCGAGGGUGAGCGCCCCAGGAAGAAGAUUCCUGCCAAGGUGAUGUGGUAUGCUCCUAUAAUACCACGGUUGAAAUGUUUGUUCCAAAAUAAAGAGCAUGCCAAGGCGAUGCGAUGGCACAGAGAAGACCGUAAGAAAGACGGAAAGUUGAGAGUACCCGCUGACGGGUCGCAGUGGAGAAAAAUCGAAAGAAAGUACGGGAAGGAGUUUGCAGAUGACGCAAGGAACGUAUGGUUUGGUCUAAGCGCAGAUGGCAUUAAUCCUUUUGGGGAGCAGAGCAGCAACCAUAGCACCUGGCCUGUGACUCUAUGUUUGUAUAACCUUCCUCCUUGGUUGUGCAUGAAGCGGAAGUUCAUUAUGAUGCCAGUGCUCAUCCAAGGCCCUAAGCAACCCGGCAACGACAUUGAUGUGUACCUAAGGCCAUUAGUUGAAGAACUCUUACAACUAUGGAAUGGAACAGGUGUAGGUGCGUGGGAUGAGCACAUGGGGGAAGAAUUUGAACUAAAGGCGUUGCUGUUCGUGACCAUCAAUGAUUGACCUGCUCUCAGUAACCUUUCAGGACAGACAAACAAGGGAUACCGCGCAUGCACGCACUGUUUGGACGAUACCGACAGUAUAUAUUUGGCUAAUUGUAAGAAGAAUGUGUACCUGGUACAUCGUCGAUUUCUUCCGAGCAGGCAUCCCGUAAGAAAUAAAGGCAAGCAUUUCAAAGGUGAGGCGGAUCACCGGACGAAGCCUCGCCACCGUACUGGUGCUGAUGUACAUGAUAUGGUCAAGGAUUUGAAGGUGGUCUUUGGAAAGGGUCCUGGUGGACAACCUGUUCUGAAUGACGCUGACGGACGUGCACCCAUGUGGAAGAAGAAAUCUAUAUUUUGGGACCUGCCCUAUUGGAAAGACCUAGAGGUCCGCUCCGCAAUCGAUGUGAUGUAUGUGACGAAGAAUCUUUGUGUGACCCUGCUUGGCUUCUUGGGCGUGUAUGGGAAGACAAAAGAUACACCUGAGGCACGGGAGGACCAGCAACGUAUGCACGGAAAAGACGGCAUACAUCAGGGUCAUGCAAGCUACGCUCUUACCAAAGAAGAGAAGGAAAUCUUCUUUGAAUGCCUGCUCAGUAUUAAGGUACCGUCUGGCUUCUCGUUGAAUAUAAAGGGAAUAAUAAACAUGGCAGAGAAAAAUUUCCAGAACCUAAAGUCUCAUGACUGCCACGUGAUUAUGACGCAACUGCUUCCGGUUGCAUUGAGGGGGCUUCUACCGGAAAACGUUCGAUUAGCCAUUGUGAAGCUAUGUGCAUUUCUCAAUGCAAUCUCUCAGAAGGUAAUUGAUCCAGAAAUCAUACCAAGGUUAGAGAAUGAUUUGGUGCAAUGUCUUGUCAGUUUCAAGUUGGUGUUCCCACCAUCCUUCUUCAACAUCAUGACGCACGUCCUAGUUCACCUAUGCGAAGAGAUUAACAUUUUGGGUCAUGUAUUUCUACACAAUAUAUUCCCCUUUGAGAGAUUCAUGGGAGUCUUAAAGAAAUAUGUUCAUAACCGUGCUAGGCCAGAAGGAAGCAUCUCCAAGGGCCAUGAAAAUGAGGAGGUCAUUAAGUUUUGUAUUGACUUUAUUCCUGACCUUAAGCCGAUUGGUGUUCCUGAAUCGCGGCAUAAGGGCAGACUGGAUGGAAAAGGCACACUAGGAGGGGAACAAAUAAUAUGUAUGGACGGACAUUCUCUCACUGAAGCACACUACAUAGUUCUAUAGAAUUUCGCCUUGGUGGCUCCGUAUAUGGAUGAACACAAGAAUUUGCUAUGCUCCAAACACCCGGAGCAGUCUGAUGACUGGAUUACACGUGAACAAACUAGGAGUUUCGCCAGCUGGUUGCAGACACGUACCAUGCAUGACACCUCUAUUGAAGAUGACCUGUACUUGUUGUCCCAGUUACCAUCUUCGAAUAUAAUGACUUUCAAAAGGUACGAGAUAAAUGGUAAUACAUUUUACAUGAUCGCUCAAGAUAAGAAGAGCACCAACCAAAGCAGUGGUGUCCGCUUUGAUGCAUAAACCAAGACGGGAAAGGAAACAUAUUAUGGUUAUAUAGAGGACAUAUGGGAACUUGACUAUCGACGUGGUUUGAAGGUCCCUUUGUUUCGGUGCAAAUGGGUCAAUAUGACACGAGGCGGGGUAAUGGAAGACCCGCAGUAUGGAAUGACACUAGUGGAUCUCAACAAUCUUGCAUAUGCAGACGAACCAUUCGUCCUAGCCAAUGAUGUGGCACAGGUUUUGUAUGUGAAGGACAUGUCUACCAAGCCAAGAAAAAGAAAAGAUAAGGAAGCGAACGCAUCGUACGAUGAGCCAAAGCGGCACAUAGUUCUUUCUGGGAAGAGAAACAUCGUGGGAGUGGAUGACAAGACAGACAUGUCAGAAGAUUAUGAAAAGUUUGAUGAAAUUGCUCCAUUCACAGUGAAUAUUGACCCGAGCAUCCCGUUAAAUGAUGAAGAUUUUCCAUGGUUACGGCGCAAAGGGACACAUGAUCGGCUUCACUAUCAUCACGUUCUUCUGUGUUUCACACCCAGGAGGGAAUCUCUGUAAUAGUUAGGGUAGUAAUGUGUUUUGGCAUUUGAAACGCGAAGAAAUUUUAUGUGCAAACAAAUUCUUUCAUACAUUUACUGAUUUUUAAAGUUAAGUUAUUCAUAAACUAGUGAUUCACACUAAUUUCAAAUAAUUCAAAAUUUAAACUAUUCAAAUUUGAAAACUACGGGCACUAACAGAAAGUUUGUAAUUUUUUGUACCUAAAGCAAAAAUAUUCACAAACAAACUCUAAAUACACUGAUUUUUAAAGUUAAGUUAUUCACAAACUAGUGAUUCACACUAAUUUCAAAUAAUUCAAAAUUUAAACUAUUCAAAUUUGAAAACUACGAGCACUAACAGAAAGUUUGUAAUUUUUUUGUACCUAAAGCAAAAAUAUUCACAAAGAAACUCUAAANNNNNNNNNNNNNNNNNNNNNNNNNNNNNNNNNNNNNNNNNNNNNNNNNNNNNNNNNNNNNNNNNNNNNNNNNNNNNNNNNNNNNNNNNNNNNNNNNNNNNNNNNNNNNNNNNNNNNNNNNNNNNNNNNNNNNNNNNNNNNNNNNNNNNNNNNNNNNNNNNNNNNNNNNNNNNNNNNNNNNNNNNNNNNNNNNNNNNNNNNNNNNNNNNNNNNNNNNNNNNNNNNNNNNNNNNNNNNNNNNNNNNNNNNNNNNNNNNNNNNNNNNNNNNNNNNNNNNNNNNNNNNNNNNNNNNNNNNNNNNNNNNNNNNNNNNNNNNNNNNNNNNNNNNNNNNNNNNNNNNNNNNNNNNNNNNNNNNNNNNNNNNNNNNNNNNNNNNNNNNNNNNNNNNNNNNNNNNNNNNNNNNNNNNNNNNNNNNNNNGCGCCGUCCCGGCCCGUCCCUCGUCAUCCCCGUCCCCGUCAUCGCCGCCCCGUCUCCGUCGUCGCCGCCCCGGCCCGUACGUCCCCGUCCCCGUCGUCGCCGCCCCGUCCCUGUCCCCGUCGUCGCCAUCCCCGUCGUCACCGCACCCGUCGCCAUCCCCGUCGCCGCCCCCUGUCGCCUCUCACCUCGCCGGUGAGCACACACACACACAUACAUUUUUUUAGUUUUUUAGUUAUAGAAAUAGUUAUAAAAAUGUUAGAAAUUUUUCUUUUUUUAGUUAUAGAAAUAGUUAGUUAUAUAGCAUUGUUAGAAAUGUUAUAGAAAUGUUAGAAUUGCUAGAAAUUUUUCUGUUUUUUAGUUAUAGAAAUAGUUACAAAAAAGUUAGAAUUGUUAGAAAUUUUUCUGUUUUUUAGUUAUAGAAAUAGUUAUAAAAAAGUUAGAAAUUUUUCUUUUUUAGUUAUAGAAAUAUUAGAAAUGUUAUACAAAUGUUAGUUAUAUAGCAUUGUUAGAAAUGUUAUAGGAAUGUUAGUUAUAUAGAAAUGUUAGAAAUUUUAGUUAUCAAAAUCCAAUCAUUAAAAAAUGUUGCUUUUUGCGGGCAUAUAGCUAGUAUUUGUUCUCGACGAUGCCCGGCCCGCAUCCUCGCCGUCGACCCGUCUACGACGACGUCCGGCUGACCCAUGUCCGGGACUGGGCUCCGCCGGGCUGGCACUGGGAGGUGCUGCCUGGAGGGGCGAGCCGCUUGAUGAGGAACCCGGACCCGGGUCCCGUCGUCGACCCUGAUCUCGUUUGGUGGCGUUCGCGUGGGCCAGUUUCGGUGCGGAGGGAGCCGGCCCCGCCGGAGGAGGACCCGGGUCCCGUCGUCGACCCUGAUCGCCGUGUUAGGGAGGAGGACGAGCACGUCCAUCGCUACAUGGUUGCGUUAGAGGGCGGCAGGUUCUCCAAUACCUGGCAGUUUCUUCAGGGAUGUCACUUCAGCUAUGAUGCUGUGAGGGUUCCUUCUCUUUGGGUGUCCACCGCCCGCGACGCAUGAACCGCGAGUGUCCUAGAUUCUUCUGUAGUAUUCGAUCUUUAUUAGCUACCUAGCUAGUGAUGUAUUCGAUAUAUAAUAUUUGAGAUGAUGUAUUCGAGAUUAUAUAUUAUUCGAGACGAUGUAUUCGAGAUUAUAUCUAUUAUUCGAGACAAUGUAUUCGAGAUUAUAUCUAUUAUUCGAGACGAUGUAUUCGAGAUUAUAUCUAUUAUUCGAGACGACGUAUUCGAGAUUAUAUUCGAAGAUGCUUAUUAUGUACUAUGAUUGAUUUAGUUUUUCCUUAUUAAUUGAUUGCAUCCAUGCAUUGUAAUUUGAAUAUAUUUCUUUUGGAUUAGUUAAACAAAACCUAUGGCGGACAAUACCGACAGAGAGGGAGAAGAGGCCCUGUUCAAUAUCAUACGCAAUCCUCGCGGGCCAGAUGAUGAUCAGAAUGAAGAAGAUUAUGACGGCUCUGAAUAUCUAAACAACACCGGGGAGGGUGAUAUGAUAUUCGAUCGCGACGAUCGAAUUGAUGAAGUCAUGAACUAUGAACAUGACGAAGAAAAUGUUGAUCUUGAAACAACAAAGACUGGCGAGGUAUAUAUAUUUAUAUAAGCAGGCAUCUGGUGAUCAUCACAUGUUUUAAAUGACUUGAAGAUAUAUUAACGAACCGAUCUUUCUUCUUUCAGCUGUCCGGAUCGAGCAAAUCUUCAAGCAACAGGACGAAACGAGGCCCGAACAAAAAGUUGAAGGAGGGCAUAAAGUACAAUAUCGAGGUAAUCAGACCUAACAGCGAAUCAUUAGCGCCUAAGAAGAUUGCGGACAAGUUCAUUCGUCAGUGCGGAGUUCUUGUGAAGGACCAACUCCCGAUCUCCCUUCAAGAAUGGAGAGAGCCAGCAAAGCCACGUCCAGGAGUUACUUUUGUCGAUGACAGACAAAAACAUUUGCUUUGGGAAACGCUCAUGGAACAUUUCACCCUACCAGAUCAUUUCACAGAUGCAGAUGUGGAGAAAGUCAAGGACGCUGCUCUUAGGAUGAUGGCGGUUGCAUUCAAGAACCACAAGAUUCGUGAAUGGGCCAAGUACGUCAACGGAGGAAGGAAGACUCCAGUAUUCGAGGGAACACUACAGAACCAAAGUGCUCAUUGGGAUGAUUUCGUGAAAUUCAAGGAUUUGGAAUUAUCUAAGGAACGGUAGAGAAUAAACAAGGCCAAUGCUGCAAAAAAGGAUAAGUUCCAUAAGCUGGAGCCAGGUGGCUAUGCGGUGGGAAUGCCUAAGUGGGAUAAGUCUGAGAAAGAGAUGCUGGAUGCAGGUGUCACUCCAGAAACAUUGAGCUGGCCCCCCAUGUGUAGGACUUGGUUCUAUGCGCAUGGGGGGAGUUGGACCCGAAGACAGGCAAAGUUUCAAAGAAGGCAUGUCUGGACGGAGCCGAAGAUAAGCUACUUGUUGCAAUAGAAGAGGCUCGAUCGGGGUUGUUCGAGCCCAACAGAGAGAACGACGAGCUUACGCGUGCCCUGGAAAAUCCUGAACACCCGGGAAGAACACGAGGCAUGGGCGCUAUUCCAUGGUAUGAGGGGUUUUCGGACUGGAACGCCGACUACAGAACCCGUGCGAGAAAGAAGAUUGCGGAGGAGAAGAAGAGGAAGAUGUAGGAGGAGCAGAGGAAGCUAGACUAUGAAUGCCUUCAAGGCCUAGAAUCAGCGCACGCGGACUUGGCAGUCAAAUUCCAGCGGCAGCAGGAGUAGAUCGACUCACUUAGCCAGCAAAGGGGGUCUCAGCAGCUAGCGGAUGAUCCACCAUUGGAUAGCACCGUCCCAUCCAUGCCGAGAAGCAGCGUGGGUUCCGCCCCGGGCGACACAUUGCUGGAUAGCUACCCAGUGGAUGACAUCAUGGAGAACACUAACUGCGAGCUACACUUCACAAUGAAGAACAUAUCCAUGAAGGUGGCGGACGCCCUUGCUUUUACAAAUCCCCCCGAGGCAACCUUCCAUUGCAACCCGAUUCCAGCGGGCUAUGCUCGUGUCUUGGUUGAUGAGGUGGUGGACCAAUAUUCGGGGCUAGAGCUUGACAUUCCUGGGUGACGAUGAGCACACACUAGGAGAGGCCAACCAUCGUAUCAUCCUAUGGAGAAAGGAUUGCAUCAUCUUUCGAAGGCCACCGACACCGCGUCAUCCGACUCCUCGUCGCAGUCCACCACCGAGUCAGUAGACUCCCGCUCCUCCAAGUCCACCAACGUGUCAGGCCACUCCUCCUCCAAGUCCAUCACAGCUUCAGGCCACUCCUCCAAGUCCGGCACAGCUUCAGGCCACUCCUCCUCCUCCAACUCAGCCACGUCAGCCGUCUUCGCCGCCUCAGCAAUCACGGAAGAGAGCCGCCUCAGCUAUGGUGCGUAGCGGUACAAGUCGAGGUAGUACUGGAGGUACAGGCGGAGGCAAGCGAUUUCAAUAUGGUCCAAGCCUCGCGCCUCUUCCGCAGAGGCCUUACGACAAGUCCGAGGAGGAAAACGUAGCCAUAUCGAAGGCCGAGGUGGAAGCCCAUUUUGCACCGAAACCGCCACCGCCGCCAAGGGAGAAAGUGCCUGUGGAAAAGAUUGACCACUUCAUUCGUAUGGCUAGAGCACCAGCUCCCAAGCCUGUUGACACAGACUAUGAGCGACACAUCAAGAAGUUAAAUUGAGCACGUCUACAGAAAGAGGCGAGCUCGAGCUCGAGCAAAUCAGCUGGCAAAAGGAGCGGUAAAACCGUUCCCCAGCUGGGAGAACAGGCGGCGCAAUCAACCCCCCCGCUUGUUGUGCCAACAACACAUGAGAGUAGGCGCGCCCAAUAUCAUUAUGGGCAAACCUUUAACGUUCCCGGGGUGGGCGAUGUGGUAAUAAUCGAGGAGCAUAUUGUGCAGGCUGAAUCGAUCGGGAUCACUGUUGGACAACUCCUCGAUAUCGAGCCCAUGUCUUCGACUAGAGAGGAGGAAAUAAAACGGAAAUAUGCCCGGGGCCAACCUUUGGUCGAGCCAGAGGAGCUCAAUAAGCUCCCAACGAGAAUGUAUGAAUUGCAUCAAUGGUACAUGGACAUUACCAGGAUUUCCAAUCGAGAGUCCCUCAUGGUGAAUGUCAACAAGGAGCAUUACUACCAUGAGAAAGCUGUGACCAUUGAGUAUUCAGAACUAUUUCAGCUAUACAAUAAAGACGCACUCGACAAAUCUAUCGUCAAUUGCUAUUGUCUGUAAGUGAUUUCUUUCUGUAAUUUAAGUCUCAAGCUAGUUGUACUGAUCAUUUUGAUCAAUCAUUACCUGUAAUUAUCCUCACUAUAUUCUUUUCUGUGGUAUUAUGCAGGAUGAAGAUUUAUGAAAUGAAAAAAGGUGGACACUAUGGCAUUGGGUUCGUUGACCCAAAUACCAUUAAUGAAUACACAUGGAAAAUAGAUCCAUAUCACGAAAAAAGUGUAGAGGAAAGCAUGCUACAGUUCUUCAAGGAACUUAAAUACAAUGAAGAUAUAUACUACUUCCUUACAACUUCCAAUGAGUCACACUGUCUUGUACUACAAAUUCUUUUUUUCCCUACUAGCUAUAGCUACAUGUUUUUGCUUACAUAUGCCCGCUUAAUUAAGACAUGCAAACGUGUGUGCAUGCAGAUUUCACUGGAUCUUGUUAAUCAUUAAAGUUGAUGAAGGAACAGUUGAAGUACUAGACUCACUACUUAAGAGAGCAAGUGACUGCACCAUCGUGAAGGGGAUAGUCAACAGGUAAUUUCAAUCAUUAUUAACUAUAUCUCGGCCUAUUUAAUUAGUUUGUCAUUUCCUGAUAACAACUAUUUAAUAACCAAUUUAUUCAUUUUCUUUGUCGGCGGGCAGGGCUUGGGCAAAGUUCAUUAGGGCCAUUCCAGGCCCAUGGAAACAAAAUCUCAAAUGCUAUCGACCCAAGGUAAGUAAUUAAUGGUAUCGACCCAAGGUAAGUAAUUAAUGGUAUCGACCCAAGGUAAGUAAUUAAGUAGUACUAGCUAGCUGCCAUCUCUUUAAUUAUCAUGCUUGAUUAAUUAUUAUCUGAUCAAAUUCCAUUCUCGUAAAGGCCCUGAAGCAGGCGCCGGGGAAUGAUCUGUGUGCAUACUACGUUUGCGAGAACAUUCGCAUGAUGGCGUCCGAAAAGAGCAAAUCUCAAAGACAGGAGUGGGUAUGAUAUCGAUUGUCAGAACACUAUUCACAAUUUUUACACCAUUAUCGAUAUCUAGUCACACAACUAAUACACAUGCAUAUUGAUCUCCUUCUUAACAGUUCAAAGAGGUGCGGGACAAGCUCCUAGCACAGGACCGCAUAGAAGCAAUUCAAGAGGAAAUAGCGGGAUUUUUGCUUGACCAGGUCAUAGAUCCCAAAGGAGAAUACUAUUACCCGCUACCGCCCCCAUGAACCACUUCCAAUUGUUAUCGUGCUCCGAAGGCACCAAUUAGCUAGGCUAAUGCCACUGGCUCCGAAGGCACCAAUUAGGAGAAAUUGUGUGUAUAUAUAUACAUGUGUGUAUAUAUGUGUGAAUUAAUUAAUGGUGGUUGUGAGACAUUCGAUGAUAUAUAUAUAUAUAUAAAUAUAUAUAUAUAUAUAUAUAUAUAUAUAUUAUGAUCGGUUCUACUAGAAAUUCUAUUUAUAUAUAUAUAUGCAUAACGUGUACAAUAUGUAGUAUCGUAAAAUACCAGCAAACGAAAAAUAAUUAAAUGGAAAACACAAAAUUAAAUGAAAAAGAAAUCAUAAACCCAAAAUCCCCCAACCUUUUAAUACCGGUUGGUGACACCAACCGGUACUAAAGGGCUCCCUGCCCCCGAAGCUGGCUCGUGCCACGUGGUUGCCCUUUAGCACCGGUUCGUGCUGAACCGGUACUAAAGGGGGGGGGCUUUAGUGCCUACAUUUUAGUGCCGGUUACCAAACCGGCACUAAAGGGCCUUACGAACCAGUGCUAUUGCCUGGUUCUGCACUAGUGCAAAUUAUCUGUCUACAUGGUAUCAUCCUCUUCGGUCUAACCCUAGGUUCAGCCGCUGCCGCGCCGCCGCACCCGCCACUUCCGCGCCUCUUCUCCGACUAACCCGCGCCGCCGCCUGCCUGUGCUAGCUUCCACCCCUGCAUCCCACAUUGCUGCCACACGUGUGCCCCGUACCGCUGCAUCCCGCGCGCCUGCUUCGCGCCACGCCGCUGCGUCCCGUGGCCUGUGCCGCUUCGCGCCGCAGCCGCUACAAUCCGUGCACCCGCGCGCCUGCUUCCUUCAGCUGCCUCAUAUGUCUCUCACUGCAGUCGCAUAUGCUGCUACUGCCACCUCCUCCACCCAACCCUAACCCUAGUCCCUACCCCGCACACCACUGCCAUGUCGUGGCCCUUCUCCCCCGGCUCCUCCACCACCCACUCGUCCAACCCAUUCGCUGGUCCCGAGCCCUCCGCCGCCGCCAUCCAUGACCUCAAUAUUGAGGCCCAGGUCCUCAUCCGUCUCAACAGCUCCAGCAUGUCAUACUACGCAUGGAAGACCUACUUCAGCCUCGUCUUCCGCGAGUACUAUCUCACCGAGCAUAUCGAUGAUUUCGUGGAUAGCGUGUACAUGCGUGGCAACCCGGAGUGGUCCGUCAUCGAGGCCACGCUCAUAUGUUGGUUCUACCAGACGGUCUUGAAGGACAUCUUCCACACGGUCAUCGCCGAGGACGACGAGGCCUGCAUCGUGUGGGCCAAGAUCAACGCGCUCUUCACCGACAAUAAACUCCAGCGCCUUGUUUUCCUGCAGCAGGAGUUCUUCGGCUGUCACCGGGACAACUCCAAGAUCGACGAGUACUGCAUGAGGCUCAAGAUGCUCGCCGAUGAGCUUCGUGACAUCGGCGCUAAGGUCUCUAACAACCUCAUGCUGAGCACCCUCACCGUCGGGCUCAAUGAGGACUUCGACAAUGCGGCGUCCAACCUCACCCUGCUGCAGCAAUCCACUUUUCAGCGCGUCAUCGCGUACCUCAAACUUGAGGAGUGCCGGAUGACGAAGCUGAAGUAGCGGGUCCAACACACCGCGCUCGCCGCUGGUACCACCCACGGCAGCCCUGCUCCUCCGGCCGCCCCCCGCCAGUCCGCGCCGCCAGCACCUGCCGGCUACUACCCGCUUCCGCCCGCAACUCACUUGUGUUCUACUCGUGCAUAUAACAUCUACGCAUAAACCUGGCUCGGAUGCCACUAUUGGGGAACGUAGUAAUUUCAAAAAAAAUCCUACGCAUACGCAAGAUCAUGGUGAUGCAUAGCAACGAGAGAGGAGAGUAUCGUCCAUGUACCCUCGUAGACCGUAAGCGGAAGCGUUAUGAGAAUGCGGUUGAUGUAGUCGUGCAUCUUCAUGAUCCUACCGAUCCAUGUAUCGAACGUACGGCACCUCCGAGUUCAGCACACGUUCAGCUCGAUGAUGUCCCACGAACUCUGAUCCAGCAGAGCUUCACAGGAGAGUUCCGUCAGCAUAACGGCGUGAUGAUGGUGAUGAUGUUGCUAUCGACGCAGGGCUUCGCCUAAGCACUGCUACGAUAUGAUCGAGGUGGAUUAUGGUGGAGGGGCACCGCACACGGCUUGGAACAAUCAACUUGUGUGUCCUAGGAUGCCCACUGCCCCUGUAUAUAAAGGAGCAAGUGGGGAGGCCGGCCGGCCCUUGCAGGGCGCGCCAGGAGGAGGAGUCCUUCUCCAAGUAGGAGUAGGACUCCCCUUUCCUACUCCUACUAGGAGGGGGAAAGGAAGGAGGAGAGGGAGAAGGAAAGGGGGCGCCCCCCUUCCCUAGUCCAAUUCGGACCAGAGAGGGAGGGGCGUGCGGCCUGCCCUGGUCGGCCCUCUCUCUCUCCACUAAGGCCCAUGUGGCCCAUUACUUCUCCUGGGGGGGUCCGGUAACCCUCCGGCACUUCGGUUUUCUCCGAAAUCACCCGAAACACUUCCGGUAUCCGAAUAUAGUUGUCCAAUAUAUCAAUCUUUAUGUCUCGACCAUUUUGAGACUCCUCGUCAUGCAGGACUCCUAACUACCUUUGGUACAUCAAAUCACAUAAACUCAUAAUACCGAUCGUCAUUGAACAUUAAGCGUGCGGACCCUACGGGUUCGAGAACUAUGUAGACAUGACCGAGACACGUCUCCGGUCAAUAACCAAUAGCAGAACCUGGAUGCUCAUAUUGGCUCCUACAUAUUCUUUGAAGAUCUUUAUCGGUCAAACCGCAUAACAACAUACGUUGUUCCCUUUGUCAUCGGUAUGUUACUUGCCCGAGAUUCGAUCGUUGGUAUCUCAAUACCUAGCUCAAUCUCGUUACCUGCAAGUCUCUUUCUUGUUCUGUAAUGCAUCAUCUUGCAACUAACUCAUUAGUUACAUUGCUUGCAAGGCUUAUAGUGAUGUGCAUUACCAAGAGGGCCCAGAGAUUCCUCUCCGACAAUCGGAGUGACAAAUACUAAUCUCGAUCUAUGCCAACUCAACAAGUACCAUCGGAGACACCUGUAGAGCACCUUUAUAAUCACCCAGUUACGUUGUGACUUUUGGUAGAACACAAAGUGUUCCUCCGGUAAUUGGGAGUUGCAUAAUCUCAUAAUCAUAGGAACAUGUAUAAGUCAUGAAGAAAGCAAUAGCAGUAAACUAAAACGAUCAAGUGCCACUACAAGAAACAUGUUAAUGCAUGACGGAUUUCCCAUGACAGUAUCAAAAAUCGUCAUGAACGGCCCACUACAACCCCGCAAGCCCGCCAAAAUCCCGCCUAAAGCCCUAAACGUUUCGUGUAUAUAAAAGCUAAACCUAAAACACUACUGCCCCAAUCUCCAACCUCCAUCUACCGCCGCCGCAUCUCUACUCUCCUCAUCCUGGUCCUCUGCCUCCACCUCCCUGCCUCCAACCGACAACGGCGGCAGAGGCCCGAUGGAAGCAGCGGCUAACCCUAGCCACUGCGGCGCUCCUCUGCUACUCACAACCAAGGACCGGGUCCAUGGAUCUGCAGCAGGGGCCUCCCUCCUCCAUCUCCCAGAUCGUGAAGCUGCAUCGCCAUCUGGAGAUUCGCAGCAGCAAGCGCCGGAUGAGGAGAGGACGACGACCGUGACCUGCGGGAGGCCCGAGCUCGACGACGCACCGCACAGGGUCCCUCCCUACUUCUCCCCAUCGAUUCCUCUCUCCUUCAUUCCUUCCUUCUCUCUCCCAUUCCAAUAGACUUUGUUGCUUUGAUUCAGAUCAUCAGGAGCUCUUCCCCUCUCCAGAUCCAUGAACGGCGACGAUCGGGACCCCACGCUCGAGCCCCACUAGCUGGACGAGCUCGACAGCGAGGUCAUCUGCCCCGUCCACCAUGAUUCCCCAUAGAACAAGAAGGUCGACCAUCUCGCUCUAGUUUCUUUUCUUUCCAAAUACUUGCUGCUCUGCUCUAGGAUAGUUCUCCAGGGGCUCUCAAAUUUUCUUUGUUUGAACCUGAUGCAAAAAAUGUGGUCACUUUGUUUCCUGAUACUCACAAGUUACAGCAAUCGAUAGGCUAGCAUCGCUGGAUAUUUUGUUUUUCUUCUCUCACCGUGUGAGCACUAGUAGUGUAAAAUUUGUGAGAUCUACUACUUAGUUAAGAAACUACUAGUUUAAUAAGUAAUUCCCAAUUAGAUGCCCGUGUUGAUUCCUUCGAUUUUUCUUGUUUAUGGAGGGAAAGUAAUUCAUUCAUCUCACUGAAUCGAUUGACCAAGAGUAGAUUGUUUGUUAACUAGGCCUGCUAUUACACUGCUUCUCUUUUAUAUAAUAUGUGCAAACUUUCCAUUUGUUAUGUGGUGAAAAUAGCCAUCAUAUUGAUUUCCACACAAUUAAGUUGAUGAAAUUUAUGACACAUGCUGGUGGUGCUUGUUGCCAUGGAAUGCUUGGUUUGAUCCCAUUUGUUGUCAGCAAAUAUACGUGUUGUAUUUUUGUAAGUUUUGUUAUGAAAGACAAGUCCCUUUGGAAGAAGAACACUACUUGAAGGAAAAGGGGAAGCCAAAAUAGCUGACGACUAUGUAUUCUCAGUUAUUGGUAACAUCAAAAUCUGGUAGAACUCAUGCUUGAUUGUUACUAGGUUAAUGCCAAGUUGCUUAUACAAUCGAUGAUGCUAUUUUUUAUAUGUGUACCUAGAAGUAGCUGACAUCCUUGUACUUCAUCGGCUAAUAUAAUUGAUGCAUACAAGUAGGCUCCUGGUCUUUGCUCAAUUUAAUAUAUAUCACAAUUUGAUGAAUUCCUUGUUUCCAGUACAUGUCACCAAUUUCAAUAUAUUACGUAGUAAGUGCCUCCGUCUGACAAGAUGUAAAAAUAAACCUUUUUCCUGUCCUUCACUCUUUUUUAUUUGUUUAUAAUGGAAACUAGUGCAGAGUUAGAUACAUAUAUUGCUUGAAGAUUUGCCCUCUUAAGACCUCUUAAAAUAGUUCAGCCAUAGUUUGUAUCUACACGUGCCUUGAGCAUCCAUAUUUUACCCAGUUGAUAUAUCUUUGUUAUUAUCUAGAUUAGUUCUCAUGGUGGUUAACUUGGUUUUUUAAAGCCAUUGUUUAGUGGAGGUCAUUGGUAUAUAUUGUUUUUGCAAGCGUAUACACAGAAAGCGGAGCUCCUUUUUCAGAAUGGUUCCAAGAAAAUUCUAAGUGAUGCAAUAUUGAUGUUUGUAAAUCACAACGUCCACCACUGAAUGUCUCUGCACAUUUGUAGGCCUUGAUUUGAUAUAAAAACAAUCCAAUUUAUCUUCUUGCUUAUGUCCUGGAUUUCACUAUGACUCUUUCUGUGAUUUCUUGUUACACAGCGUGCUGCCCCAUAGGUGUAGAUGCUGAAACAUUCCUACUGUAGGUGUGCCAUUCACAUGUUUGCUGAGAUGUUUGAUAAAAAAUACGGUCUUAUGCAAUUCCAUCAAAAUAGCUUAGUGAUUGCUACUCCUUGGUAUAUGUAAGUCCCCCCCAUGUCAUACUUAAUUAAGAGAGUGCAUGAAGUAUUAUAGCUUGCAUAAACUAAGGUGACUUUUUACUAUUAUGUAUAUGCGCGUUCAAGCUGGCAUACACUAAUUAAGAUCAUAAGAAACAUAGACAUGAUUCUGAUUUGCAAUGUAGAUAUUAAAUAUGAAAUUGGUGGAGGGUAUGUGCUAGUAUUUAUAGUUAAGUAGUGCCUUUUGUUUCAUGGUGAUACAUUUUUGGUUCUCCUAGUCUGAGCAUAUCCAAAAUGCAAUCUAUACACGAUGAACCAAUGAAGAAAGAAAUUUCAGAGUUCAGCUUGUACCUUAAUAACCUUGCAUUGCUUCGAUACACUACUAGAGUGGUUAUCACCCUUUUGUUCCUGUGUUCUGAAUUGGCUUGUACCUUGAUAACUGUGAAGUAAUUUUUAAGCCUUGUGUAUAGACUAAAUUUGUAGUUCUCAUGCAAGUUGUCAUCUUGUUCUCAUAUAUACUGCUUCAUUUCAUUUCUUUUCAUUAUUGUUUCCUGUUAUAAAUAAUAGUACUAUGAUGGUUAAGUCGGCAGGAAGUAUUGUUACUAUAAAGAUUUAAGAAUUUUGGACAUGUAAUUCUUUUUUAUCUUUGCUGUAAUUCUCUUUUUUGUACUAUCUAUUCAUAUCUACAAGUAUCUAAUAUUCUUGUAAAUAUGCUAGGUAGCGAGCUACUUGGUGUUGCCUAUCACAAUCAACCUCGACAUCAUAGUUGCCACAGAGAGCCGAGGACAAGGACAUGAAUAAGUCUCAAUAGUUUAUAUGUGUUGUUGAUGUAAAAUGGAUUGUACUGGUUCCCAACCUUGAUGUGUGAUGUAUUUUGUUAAUGUAUGUUGUAAGUUACCAUUUCAUAGAGGAUUUUGGAGGAUUUUAUAAACUGCGACGUUGAUACAUACAGAUAGCUUUUUACUGGAUGAAUAGUUUGACACAUUGCAAAUACUUCCUCUUGGGUCAAAACUGUGAUUAGGAUUUGUGUGAUGCAUUAUGCUAAAAACGUACUGGGUCAAAAUUAGGCCGAAAUAAAUGGGCUCUAUAUUGUAUGUAAAUCCAUGACAAAUUUUAUGACGAAGAAUAGUAUCCACGUAGGCGGCCAUGUGGCAAUCGAAAAUCCUAUGUGGCAACAAUCCAUGACGGUCUACUCCGUCACAAUGGUUUGGGUCUGGGCGGGCCUGGUGUAAAUACAUGACGUUCAGGAACCGUUAAGGAAGGUACUAUGUCAAAUUAUGAUGCGAUAUACAUGACAUAUUUCCUAUCCGUCAUGCAUGGACACCCAUGACAGUUUUUCACUUAUGCGUGACGGAUCGGAUCCGUCAUGUAUUAAUAGAUUUCUUGUAGUGCUAAGCUAACUGAAUGGGUCAAGUCAAUCACAUCAUUCUCCUAAUGAUGUGAUCCCAUUUAUCAAAUGACAACUCAUGUCUAUAGUUAAGAAACAUAACCAUCUUUGACUAACGAGCUAGUCAAGUAGAGGCAUCCUAGUGACACUUUGUUUGUCUAUGUAUUCACACAUGUAUUAUGUUUCUGGUUAAUAUAAUUCUAGCAUGAAUAAUAAACAUUUAUCAUGAAAUAAUAAAAUAAAUAAUAACUUUAUUAUUGCCUCUAGGGCAUAUUUCCUUCAGCCAAUGUCGUGGUCGAGUGCUCUUGGAUACGUCAGCUGCUCCAGGAGUUGCUUUGUGAUGUUCAUAAGGCCACUCUUGUCUACUGCGAUAACGUCAGUGCGGUCUACCUCUCCGCCAACCUGGUGUACCAUCGACAGACGAAGCAUAUUGAGCUCGAUAUUCACUUCGUGCGCGAGUAGGUUGACCUUGGACGUGUUCGGGUUCUCCACAUGCCGACGACGCAACAGUUUGGUGAUGUGAUGACUAAGGGAUUGGCUACUCCCGUCUUCAAGGAGUUUCGAUCCAGUCUUUGUGUCAUCGGCGACACUUCGACUGUGGGGGGGUGUUGAGUAUGUAUUUUGUACUGCACGUGUAUUCGAGUUGUGGCCCACCUCCUAGUCUUCUAUAGUUGAGGUAGAGGCAUUCCCUUGUAUUAUAUAUGUGUGCACCAGCACCAAUUGAAGCGAGCCGCAUGUAGCAGCGCACCGUGGUACCGUAAUCGCCACCGUGUAUGAACUUGCACUGGUUUUCACAGUAUGAGGGCUAUGGAAUUUAUUUGGUGGCUAAAAUAAAUCAAUCUACACGAAUUUCGGAAUUUAGAAUUAAUCUAAUCUAAGAAAUUGAUCUAAUCUACGGAAUCGAUCAAAUCUUUGAUUGAUCGAGUGUCGCGCCGGAGAGGAGAUUAAUCUCCCCGGGGGCGACGCGUCACGGAAGUAGUGGAAGGUCUUAGUAUCGGUGUCAUGAGACUAACCGCUCUAAUAUCCACUGGUAGAAAAGGGUCAUUUGUUUCGAUUCAAGAGGGCUUUUAGUCCCGGUUCCGGGACUAAAGGGUCGAUACUAAAGCCCCCCCCCCUUUAGUCCCGGUUCUUAUACGAACCAGGACUAAAGGCCCUCCACGUGGAGGCUGUCUGGAGCUCCACCUUUAGUCCCGGUUGGUGGUAACACCAACCGGGACUAAAGGAAAUGUUACGAUUUUUUUCCGAUUUUCAAAUUUAAUCUCUAAUCACCCCUCAUCACUGCUCAAUUUAACCUCUAAUGUUUAAUCACCCCUCAUCAUUCUAAAUCAUCUAACUUCUCGGCCGGUCACUGAUACGUCUCCGUCGUAUCUACUUUUCCAAACACUUUUGCCCUUGUUUUGGACUCUAACUUACAUGAUUUGAAUGGAACUAACCCAUACUGACAAUAUUUUCAGCAGAAUUGCCAUGGUGUUAUUUAUGUGCAAAAACAAAAGUUCUCAGAAUGACCUGAAACUCCACGGAGCGUAUUUUUGGAAAUAAUAAAAAAUCCUGGCAAAAGAUUAAGACCAGGGGGCCCACACCCUAGCCAUGAGGGUGGGGGCGAGCCUGCCCCCCUGGGCAUGCCCCCUACCUCGUGGCCCCCCUGGAGCUCCACCGACCUCAACCUUGACUCCAUAUAUUUGCGUCGGAGAGAAAAAAUAAAGGAGAAGGAUUCAUCGCGUUUUAUGAUACGGAGCCGCAUCAAGCCCUAAAACUUCUCGGGAGGGCUGAUAUGGAGUCCGUUCGGGGCUUCGGAGAGAGGAAUCCCUCGCCAUCUUCAUCAUCAACCAUCCUCCAUCACCAGUUUCAUCAUGCUCACCGCCGUGCGUGAGUAAUUCCAUCGUAGGCUUGUUGGACGGUGAUGGGUUGGAUGAGAUUUAUCAUGUAAUCGAGUUAGUUUUGUUAGGGUUUGAUCCCUAGUAUCCACUAUGUUCUGAGAUUGAUGUUGCUAUGACUUUGCUAUGCUUAAUGCUUGUCACUAGGGCCCGAGUGCCAUGAUUUCAGAUCUGAACCUAUUAUGUUUUCAUGAAUAUAUGUGAGUUCUUGAUCCUAUCUUGCAAGUCUAUAGUCACCUACUACGUGUUAUGAUCCGGCAACCCCGAAGUGACAAUAAUCGGGACCACUCCCUGUGAUGACCGUAGUUUGAGGAGUUCAUGUAUUCAUUAUGUGUUAAUGCUUUGGUCUGGUACUCUAUUAAAAGGAGGCAUCAAUAUCCCUUAGUUUCCACUAGGAACCCACUGCCACGGGAGGGUAGGACAAAAAAUGUCAUGCAAGUUCUUUUCCAUAAGCACGUAUGACUAUAUUCAGAAUACAUGCCUACAUUACAUUGAUGAAUUGGACUUAGUUCUCUGUCACCCUAGGUUAUGACUGUUACAUGAUGAACCACAUCCGACAUAAUUCUCCAUCACCGAUCCAUUGCCUACGAGCUUUCCAUAUAUUGUUCUUCGCUUAUUUACUUUUCCGUUGCUAUUGUUACAAUCACUACAAAAUAUCAAAAACAUUACUUUUGUUAUCAUUACCUUUUGCUACCGUUACCACUACUAUCAUAUUACUUUGCUACUAAACACUUUACUGCAGAUAUUAAGUUUCCAGGUGUGGUUGAAUUGAGAACUCAGCUGCUAAUACUUGAGAAUAUUCUUUGGCUCCCCUUGUGUCGAAUCAAUAAAUUUGGGUUGAAUACUCUACCCUCGAAAAUUGUUGUGAUCCCCUAUACUUGUGGGUUAUCAAGACUAUUUUUUGGCGCCAUUGCCGGGGAGAAUAGCUCUAUUCUUUGAGUCACUUGGGAUUUAUAUCUGCUUAUCAUUAUGAAGAACUUGAAAGAUCUAAGAACCAAGAUUUAUCCCUCAACUACGAGGGGAGGUAAGGAACUGCCAUCUAGCUCUGCACUUGAUUCACCUUCUGUUUUGAGUAAGCUUGCGACACCUAAACCUGCUUCUGCUAUUGAUUCUGAUAUGUCGCAUGUUAUUGAUGAUGCCACUUCUGCUAUGCAUGAUACUUAUGAUGAAACUACUUAUAUGCUUGAUACUACUAUACCACUUGGUGGAUUUCUUGGUGAACAACUUGCUAGGGCUAGAGAGAAUGAAAUUAUUGAAACUGAUAAUAUUGAUGAAAGUGAUGAUGAAGACUCUCCCCCUAAUAAAAAUAAUUUCCUGUUGUUCCUGAGGGUUAUGUUAUGGAUGAAGAAGCUACUAGAGCUAUUUUAGCUUGCAAUGAUAGAUAUGAUCUAAAGAGGUUAUUAGCUAAAUGGAAGUAGCAAUCCCUUAAUGCUAGAAUGAAACCUGACCUUGCUUUUGCUACUUCACCUAUCUGUGUUACUAAUAAGGAUUAUGAAUUCUCUAUUGAUCCUGAUAUAAUUACUUUGGUUGAAUCUGAUCCUUUUUAUGGUUAUGAAUCUGAAACUAUUGUGGCACAUCUUACUAAAUUAAAUGAUAUAGCUACCUUGUUCACUAAUGAUGAGAGAACUCGCUACUUUUAUAUCCUUAAAAUAUUUCCGUUCUCAUUAAAGGUUGAUGCUAAGAUAUGGUUUAAUUCUCUUAAUCCUGGUUGUGUGUGUAGUCCCCAGGAUAUGAUUUAUUACUUCUCUGCUAAAUAUUUCCCUGCUCAUAAGAAACAAGCUGCCUUAAGGGAUAUAUAUAUAAUUUUGUGCAAAUUGAAGAAGAGAGUCUCCCACAAGCUUGGGGGAGGCUUCUCCAAUUACUUAAUGCUUUGCCUGAUCAUCCUCUUAAGAAAAAUGAAAUACUUGAUAUCUUUUAUAAUGGACUAACCGAUGCUUCCAAAGAUUACCUGGAUAGUUCUGUUGGUUCUGUUUUCAGGGAAAGAACACCGGAUGAAGCUGAAAUUCUAUUGAAUAAUAUGUUGACAAAUGAAAAUAAUUUGACACUUCCUGAGCAAUUCCUAAACCAACUCCGAAGAAGAGAGGUGUUCUAUUUCUCAGUCCUGAAGAUAUCCAAGAGGCAAACAAAUCCAUGAAAGAAAAGGGUAUUAAAGCUGAAGAUGUUAAGAAUUUACCUCCUAUUGAAGAAAUACAUGGUCUUAAUUUACCGCCUGUCGAAGAAAUGCAUAAUUUUAAUCCAUCUCCUAUUGAAGAAAUACAUGGUCUUGAUAACCCGACACAGGUAGUAAAGGUAAAUUCUCUCUAUAGAUAUGAUAAAGCUGAAAUCCCAUUUACUAAGUUUGUUAGCCCAUGCUUAGAUGAGUUUGAUAAAUUUAUGGUUAAGCAAGAAGACUUCAAUGCUUAUUUUGGUAGAGAAUUAAAACGCAGUGCUGAUAUGCUUGACCACUUGGGUGAUUAUAUGGCUAAUGUUAAAGAUGAACUUAAACUUAUUAGUAAACAUGCUUCUAUGGUUACCACUCAAGUAGAACAAGUACUUAAAGCUCAAAAUGAUUUGCUCAGUGAAUUGAAUAGUAAGAAUAAUGAUUUUUCUGUUAGAAUGGCUAUUAGAACUGGUAAAAUGACUCAGGAACCUUUGUAUCCUGAAGGCCACCCUAAGAGAAUUGAGCAAGAUUCUCAGAGAAAUAAUAUAGAUGCACCUAGUACUUCUAAAAGGAAUAAAAAUAAAAAUGGUAGGACUUUGCAUGCUUCUAGUGAACAUAUUGCUGAAACACCUGAGAAUCCAAAUAGUAUUUCUAUUUUUGAUGCUGAAACACAAUCUGGUAAUGAACCUGAACCUAGUGAUAAUGUUAAUGAUGAUGUUCAUGUUGGUGAUCAACCUAGCAAUGAUAAUGAUAUAGAAAUUGAACCCGAUGUUGAUCUUGAUAACCCACAAUCAAAGAAUCAACAUUAUGAUAAGAAAGACUUUGUUGCUAGGAAACAUGGUAAAGAAAGAGAACCAUGGGUUUAGAAACCCAUGCCUUUUCCUCCCAAACCAUCCAAGAAAAAGGAUGAUGAGGAUUUUGAGCGCUUUGCUGAAAUGAUUAGACCUAUCUUUUUGCGUAUGCGAUUAACUGAUAUGCUCAAAAUGAAUCCUUAUGCUAAGUACAUGAAAUAAAUUGUUACUAAUAAAAGAAAGAUACCGGAAGCUGAGAUUUCCACCAUGCUUGCUAAUUACACUUUUAAAGGUGGAAUACCAAAGAAACUUGGAGAUCCAGGAGUACCCACUAUACCAUGCUCCAUUAAAAGAAACUAUGUUAAAACUACUUUAUGUGAUCUUGGAGCCGGUGUUAGUGUUAUGCCUCUCUCUUUAUAUCGUAGACUUGAUUUGAAUAAGUUGACACCUACUAAAAUAUCUUUGCAAAUGGCUGAUAAAUCAACUGCUAUACCUGUCAGUAUUUGUGAGGAUGUGCCUGUUGUGGUUGCAAAUGUUACUAUUUUAACGGACUUCGUUAUUCUUGAUAUUCCCGAGGAUGAUAGUAUGUCUAUUAUUCUUGGAAGACCCUUUUUGAAUACUGCAGGGGCUGUUAUUGAUUGCAACAAAGGAAAUGUCAUUUUUCAUGUUAAUGGUAAUGAGCACACGGUACACUUUCCGAGGAAACAACCUCAAGUCCACAGUAUCAAUUCUAUUGGAAAAAUUCCAUCGAUUAUUUUUGGACGUUUUGAAUUUCCUCUUCCUACUGUCAAGAAGAAAUAUGAUAUUCUAAUUGUUGGGGAUGUGCAUAUCCCCGUUGAGGUAACCUAGUGUUAUUCGAAAAUUCUUCGGUUCCAUGUUAUUCGGAAUGAGUUUGUUAACAAGACUUGAUCAACCUUGUUAAUGGAUUCCUUUUGAUGAUCAUGAGAUGGAUGAAUUUAGAAAACACAUCUCUCUGUACCCUCCUUUCACUUUCUGUUAUUUAUAUUAAAUAAAGCAAAAAUACUAAUUUCUGUCUGUUUCCUGAUUAUCCGUGCAAUAUAAAAAUACCCCGAAAAUAAAAGUUCUCCAAAUGCCCUGAAAUUUAAAUAUGAUUUUUUGUGUAAUAUUUGAGAAUAUUUGGCACUGAGAACACAGCAGGGGGGCAUCCACCUGGCCACGAGGGUGGAGGGCGCGCCCUACCCCCCUGGGCGCGCCCCCUACCUCGUGGGCCCACGGUGGCCCUCCUCCACUUAUUCAUGCACCCACACACUCCUUCCUCCCACAAACACCAUUAUCUAGCUCAAGCCCUAGUCCAAGCUCAUUUUGCUGCCAUUUUCGAUCUCCUUGCUCAAAGCACCUCUCACAAAACUGCUUUGGGGGAUUGUUCCUUGGUAUGUGACUCCUCCAUUGGUCCAAUUAGUUUUUGUUCUAGUGCUUUAUUCAUUGCAAAUUUGUGUUGCCUAGGUGACCCUGUUCUUGAGCUUUCAUGUCAAAUUUAUGUGGUUCCAAGUAGUUUUGAUGCAUGAUAUAGGCUCUAGGCACUUGUAGGAGUAGUUGCUAUCAAUUUUGUUGAGUUUGGUUCACUUUUAUUUGAAGUUACUAAAAAUUUCAGAAAUUUUUCAGAGGGAGAAAUAUGCUUAGGAAAAUGUACCAAGGUGGUUCUUCAAGGAAUCAAGGACCUAGGCUUGCAAUGCGUGAUGCUGACAAUGAGCCACCAAGGGACGCUCCAGUGCGGCCUUGUGAAUGGCCUUCAGAGGACUUCAUGGAUCAAGUGAGAAUUAAGGAAGAAUUUAACGCAUAUUUGUGUAACACUGAUCUUGUGAGCUUCGAGGAAGAAAAAUGCCGUCAGUACCACUAUCUCACUAGUUCCUUUGUGAGGAGGUUUGAAUUUUCAUCUUCACGUAAUUCUCAAACUGUUCUGUUUGAUCUUUAUGAAAAUUCUUAUACUAUGGACUUCGAGGAUUUUACCACUGCUUGCAAACUUUCACAAUGGGGUAGUGCUAGUGAACCUCGCAAAUCUGAAUUUAGAGAUUUUCUCACUAGUAUAACUGUGGGAGAAUCUGGAGAUAUAGCACAAGCUACCAUAGGGAGCAUUCAUUUUCCUGAUAUACAUUAUUUUGCUCUCUUCAUAGGUAGAUGCAUUAAUGGUAAAGAUGAAGCAUGUCACAUGUGUGUCCCUGACCUCAGUAUUCUUAUGAGUGCUGUGUUAGGAGAUAAAUCUUAUAAUUUGGGAUCCAUUGUUGCACGUAGGUUGCAUCUUAAUAGAUUUAAUGGAGAUUUCUUCGGUGGAAUUUAUGCAACCCGCAUAGCUAAUUUUCUUGGUAUAACCAUACGUGAGGAUGAUAUUGAGUUGCCUCCUGCUUAUUUGGAUUAUGAGGCUAUGGUUCGUCAUCAGUUUGUUGAGAGGAACGAUCAGUUCCUCCAGUACCGACUAAUCUUUGACAGACGACGCACCUAUCACGUUGCUCUCCUUGCUUCUACUUUCUUUGAUUUUCAGGCAAAGGGGAGAUAUUUUAUAACCAGAGAGGAGGCGGAAGAGUAUAAGAGGAGGGUUGAGAUAGCUUGCCUCCAAGCUGCAGCCCACGAUGCAAUGACUGUUGCAUCUCAGUACGACCCCAACUACAACUUUAGAUAUCCGCUAGGCCAUCCGUGGCAUUAGACCAACUUAGGCCAAAAGCCUAAGCUUGAGGGAGUACGUAUUUCUCACCGACAUUACAUUUAUGUCCACACACUCAUUGCUAGCUGUCGGUGCUCAUACUUUUUCAUUGUAAUAUCCAUGCUAGUUUAUUUCCUUUUUAUGCUUUCUUCUUGUGUGUUUGAUAAACCUUAAGAAAAAAACAAAAAAAUUAGUUGUAGCUUUUAGUAGUAAUUAAAAAGAAAACCCAAAAAGAUUUCUUGUUCUUCUUUUUGCUUGUUGGGAGCUUUCCCGUGUAAAUAGUUUUAUUUCUUUUCUUUUCUUUGGGGUCGACAGGAGAAGACCAAAAUUAAAUUGUUGAAGUGGCUCUUAUAUGCAUUAUUGUUGAUCUGACAAAAGAGCCCAUAUUGCCUUGUCUUCUCCUGUUUAUUGAAUACUUGCAGAUUCCAGCUUAGUCCAAUGCACGUGCACUGUUAUUAUUAUCCACAUCGUUUGGUCAUGCAAGUGAAAGACAAUUAUGACGAUAUAUGAUGGACUGAUUGAGAUGGGAGAAGCUGGUAUGAAUUCGACCUCUCUUGUUUUUGUAAAUAUGAUUAGUUCAUCGUUCUUGAUUCAGCCUAUUAUGAAUAAACAUGUUUGCAAUGACAACUAGAGAUCAUAGUUUUUUGUGCCAUGCUUAAUUAGCCAGGAGCUUAUAAUGGUUUACCUUGCAUGCCAACAUGCUAUUAAAAUGGUUGUGAUGUGAUAUGAUAGGGUGGUAUCCUCCUCUGAAUGAUUUAAGUGACUUGACUUGGCACAUGUUGAUGCAUGUAGUUGAAACAAAAUCAACAUAGCCUUCACGAUAUUUAUGUUCAUGGUGGAUUAUGUCCUACUCAUGCUUGCAUUCGGUGUUGAUUAAUUUUAAUGCAUGUUCAUGACUGUUGUCGCUCUCUAGUUGGUCGCUUUCCAGUCUUUUUCUAGCCUUCACAUGUACUAAGCGGGAAUACUGCUUGUGCAUCCAACUCCAUAAACCCCAAAGUUAUUCCAUAUGAGUCCACCAUACCUACCUAUAUACGGUAUCUACCUGUCGUUUCAAGUAAAUUUGUAUGUGCCAAACUCUAAACCUUCAAAUAGAUAUCAUGUUUUGUAUGCUCGAAUAGCUCAUGUAUCAACUAGGGUUGUCGUAUCUUCCAAGUUAGGUGGGUUAUUCUCAAGAGGAGUGGACUUCCCUCCUCACUCACGAGAAAAUGGAUGGUCACCGGGAUGCCCGGUCCCAUGCUUUAUGCAAAUCAAAUCAAAAUAAUUGCAAACAGAACUCCCACUGGGACCCUUGUUAGUUGGAGGCACUCGUUGUUUCGAGCAAGCCAUGGAUUGAUACUUGUUGGUGGAGGGGGAGUAUAAACUUUACCAUUCUGUUUGGAAACCGCCUAUAAUGUGUGUAGCAUGGAAGAUAUCGCCAUAUCUUGGUUGUUAUGUUGACAAUGAAAGUAUACCGCUCAAAAUAUUAUUCAUCUCUAUUUCAAAACCGAGCUCUGGCACCUCUACAAAUCCAAGCUUCCCUCUGCGAAGGGCCUAUCUAUUUACUUUUAUGUUGAGUCAUCACCCUCUUAUUAAAAAGCACCAGUUGGAGAGCACCACUAUCAUUUGCAUUCAUUACUGUUAGUUUACAUUGAGUAUGACUUGACUGGAUCUCUUUUACUAUGAAUUACAAUGUCUAGUCAGUCCUUGAUCUUUAAAGGUGAUCUGCAUUUAUGUUUUGCGGUCUCAGAAAGGGCUAGCGAGAUACCAUCUUGUUAUAUCAUAUUAUGAUUAUUUUGAGAAAGUGUUGUCAUCCGAGAUUUAUUAUUAUUGCUCGCUAGUUGAUUAUGCCAUUGAUAUGAGUAAACAUGAGACCUAUGUGUUAUUGUGAAUAUGGUUGGUUCAUAAUCUUUGCUGAAAACUUCAAUGCAGGCUUUACAUAUUUACAACAACAAGAGCAAACAGAGUUUGUAAAAGUUUUUCUUUAUCACUUUUAGUUUGUCAACUGAAUUGCUUGAGGACAAGCAAAGGUUUAACCUUGGGGGAGUUGAUACGUCUCCGUCGUAUCUACUUUUCCAAACACUUUUGCCCUUGUUUUGGACUCUAACUUACAUGAUUUGAAUGGAACUAAUCCGGACUGACGAUGUUUCAGCAGAAUUGCCAUGAUGUUAUUUAUGUGCAGAAACAAAAGUUCUCGGAUUGACCUGAAACUCCAUGGAGCGUAUUUUGGAAAUAAUAAAAAGUCCAGGUAAAAGAUCAAGACCGGGGGGGCCACACCCUAGUCACGAGGGUGGGGGCGUGCCUGCCCCCCUGGGCGCGCCCCCCUACCUCGUGGGCCCCCUGGAGCUCCACCGACCUCAACCUUGACUCCAUAUAUUUGCGUUCGGGGAGAAAAAAAAAGAAAAAAGGAUUCAUCGAGUUUUACGAUAUGGAGUCGCCGCCAAGCCCUAAAACCUCUCGGGAGGGCUGAUCUGGAGUUCGUUCGGGGCUCCGGAGAGGGGAAUCCAUCGCCAUCGUCAUUAUCAACCAUCCUCCAUCACCAAUUUCAUGAUGCUCACCGUCGUGCGUGAGUAAUUCCAUCGUAGGCUUGCUAGACGCUGAUGGGUUGAAUGAGAUUUAUCAUGUAAUCGAGUUAGUUUUGUUAGGGUUUGAUCCCUAGUAUCCACUAUGUUCUGAGAUUGAUGUUGCUAUGACUUUGCUAUGCUUAAUGCUUGUCACUAGGGCCCGAGUGCCAUGAUUUGAGAUUUGAACCUAUUAUGUUUUCAUGAAUAUAUGUGAGUGUUGGAAAUAUGCCCUAGAGGCAAUAAUAAAUUAGUUAUUAUUAUAUUUCCUUGUUCAUGAUAAUCGUUUAUUAUCCAUGCUAGAAUUGUAUUGAUAGGAAACUCAAAUACAUGUGUGGAUACAUAGACAACACCAUGUCCCUAGUAAGCCUCUAGUUGACUAGCUCAUUGAUCAAUAGAUGGUUACGGUUUCCUAACCAUGGACAUUGGAUAUCAUUGAUAACGGGAUCACAUCAUUAGGAGAAUGAUGUGAUGGACAAAGACCCAAUCCUAAGCCUAGCCCAAGAUCAUGUAGUUCGUAUGCUAAAGCUUUUCUAAUGUCAAGUAUCAUUUCCUUAGACCAUGAGAUUGUGCAACUCCCGGAUACCAAGCGCUGCGCCCCCCCCCCCUCUCUUGGCCCUAUAUAUAGUGGGGGGAAGGGAGGGCAGCCUAACCCAAGCCCUGGCGCCUCCCUCUCCCUCCCAUGACACAUCUCCCUCCUCCCGCAGCGCUUGGCGAAGCCCUGUUGGAAUCCCGCUACUUCCACCACCACGCCGUCGUGCUGCUGGAUCUCCAUCAACCUAUCCUCCCCCCUUGCUGGAUCAAGAAGGAGGAGACGUCGCUGCUCCGUACGUGUGUUGAACGCGGAGGUGCCGUCCGUUCGGCGCUAAGAUCAUCAGUGAUUUGGAUCACGACGAGUACGACUCCAUCAACCCCAUUCCCUUGAACGCUUCCGCGCGCGAUCUACAAGGGUAUGUAGAUCCACUCCUCCCUCAUUGCUAGAUGACUCCAUAGAUUGAUCUUGGUGACACGUAGGAAAAUUUUGAAUUAUUGCUACGUUCCCAUCAGUGAGUUCUUGAUCCUAUCUUGCAAGUCUAUAGUCACCUACUACGUGUUAUGAUCCAGCAACCCUGAAAUGACAAUAAUCGGGACCACUCCCGGUGAUGAUCGUAGUUUGAGGAGUUCAUGUAUUCACUAUGUGUUAAUGCUUUUGUCCGGUACUCUAUUAAAAGGAGGCCUUAAUAUCCCUUAGUUUCCACUAGGACCCCGCUGCCAUGGGAGGGCAGGACAAAAGAUGUCAUGCAAGUUCUUUUCCAUAAGCAUGUAUGACUAUAUUCGGAAUACAUGCCUACAUUACAUUGAUAAAUUGGAGCUAGUUCUGUGUCACCCUAGGUUAUGAUUGUUACAUGAUGAACCACAUCCAGCAUAAUUCUCCAUCACCGAUCCAUUGCCUACGAGCUUUCCAUAUAUUGUUCUUCGCUUAUUUACUUUUUCGUUAUUAUUGUUACAAUCACUACAAAAUACCAAAAACAUUACUUUUGUUAUCAUUACCUUUUGCUACCGUUACCACUACUAUCAUAUUACUUUGCUACUAAACACUUUGCUGCAGAUAUUAAAUUUCCAGGUGUGGUUGAAUUGAGAACUCAGCUGCUAAUACUUGAGAAUAUUCUUUGGCUCCCCUUGUGUCGAAUCAAUAAAUUUGGGUUGAAUACUCUACCCAAGAAAACUGUUGCGAUCCCCUAUAUUUGUGGGUUAUCAGUCACACAUCCUCUCACUACUCCAGCCUGAGCACGCUUAAAUUCUGGAUUCUAUUCCCCCCUCGUUUUCAAGUCUGCACUCGUUGUUUCCCUGACUAUAGUAAGAUGUCAAUCCUAUUAACCCUCAGGAGUUUAGCUUGAGAAUGAAGUCAUACAUUCCAUUGUUUGAGUUUGAAACUAUUAUUCUAAAAAACAUUAAUUAUUUAGUAACACUAAUAUUUCUUGAGUAAGUAGUUUGACCAUAGUUUGACCAGAUUUGACCAAAAUUCAAAAAAAAUUGAAAUAAUUAUUUAGUAACACUAAUAUUCUUGAAUAAUUAUGUAGUAACACUAAUAUUCUUGAAUAAUUAUGUAGUAACACUAAUACUUCUUGAAUAAGUAGUUUGACCAUAGUUUGACCAGAUUUAACCAAAAUUCAAAAAAACUGAAAUUUGAGCAUAUCUUUUUUUUCCUUUUGGAAUUUGAGGAUUCCAAAAAUUUGCAAACAGGCCGUAGGCCGUCAAAAUCGGAUGCAGAUUUUUGUGCUGAACAUUUUGAUAUAUUAUACGUUUUUUUCCGACAUCGUAUGCAAAAGUUAUAGCUGUUUUACUUUUUCAUGACAUUUUUUUGCAAAACAUGUCCAAAUUUAAGUUUUUAAAUUUUCCUAACUAGUAGAUGUAGCAAUAUAACUACAUCUCGAAGGAUUUUAUUUUUUGAAGCUUUUACCAUUUUAUUUUGUUUUUUUAACUGAAUGGCGAUACAGGGGGUAGAGUUUGAGAAAUCCUUUAGUUCCGGUUUGAGACACGAACCGGGACAAAAGGGCAUUGCACCCUUUAGUCCCGGUUCGUGUCUCAAACUGGGACUAAAGAUUAGACCUUUAGUCCCGGUUUGAGAUAUGAACCGGGACUAACNNNNNNNNNNNNNNNNNNNNNNNNNNNNNNNNNNNNNNNNNNNNNNNNNNNNNNNNNNNNNNNNNNNNNNNNNNNNNNNNNNNNNNNNNNNNNNNNNNNNNNNNNNNNNNNNNNNNNNNNNNNNNNNNNNNNNNNNNNNNNNNNNNNNNNNNNNNNNNNNNNNNNNNNNNNNNNNNNNNNNNNNNNNNNNNNNNNNNNNNNNNNNNNNNNNNNNNNNNNNNNNNNNNNNNNNNNNNNNNNNNNNNNNNNNNNNNNNNNNNNNNNNNNNNNNNNNNNNNNNNNNNNNNNNNNNNNNNNNNNNNNNNNNNNNNNNNNNNNNNNNNNNNNNNNNNNNNNNNNNNNNNNNNNNNNNNNNNNNNNNNNNNNNNNNNNNNNNNNNNNNNNNNNNNNNNNNNNNNNNNNNNNNNNNNNNNNNNNNNNNNNNNNNNNNNNNNNNNNNNNNNNNNNNNNNNNNNNNNNNNNNNNNNNNNNNNNNNNNNNNNNNNNNNNNNNNNNNNNNNNNNNNNNNNNNNNNNNNNNNNNNNNNNNNNNNNNNNNNNNNNNNNNNNNNNNNNNNNNNNNNNNNNNNNNNNNNNNNNNNNNNNNNNNNNNNNNNNNNNNNNNNNNNNNCGGGACUAACCCUUUAGUCCCGGUUCAUAUCUCAAACCGGGACUAAAGGUCUAAUCUUUAGUCCCAGUUUGAGACACGAACCGGGACUAAAGGGUGCAAUGCCCUUUUGUCCCGGUUCGUGUCUCAAACCGGAACUAAAGGGCCCAUUUGAACCGGGACCAAUGCCUUUAGCCGCUCGAAUGCAACCGGGACUAAUGUGUAUAUUGCGCUGUGACCAAAACCCUGUUUUCUACUAGUGACCAUGUAGAAAUUGUAGGAUGGCUAGAAUAUUGCGUUGUUGUAGGCUAUAUUGAUCUGACCCUCGUAUGAGGUAUAUAUAGAAGUACAACGUAGGAAGAUGAUUGAAGUACAAGGCAAGUCAUUGUUGGUUUAAACCAAAUCUAUCUCUAUCUCUUCUAAUUCCUAACUAACAUGUUUGUACUUCUAACAGUGGCCAGGUAUAUGUACUCGAAAUCUGAAUAGCAAGUAAAAAAGAAUGGCGAUCGAUGAACUAAAAUGCGUGAACCUCACAAGGAAUUUAACUACGAAACAAACAAAGCUGCCUGCUGCCAUCAUGCUCAUGUCAUGGUGCCCAAGAUAGAAGUUGGACACUGCAAUCGUGGUGAGAGCUAGCCAUGUGAUCAAUGUGACUUUGCUGUCAGUAACUUGCACACAGAAAAAAACAUUUCUAAAAAGAAGAGCUUAUUUCCUUUUGAGAUGAAGCCUAGCCAGUGACUUGCAUCAAACCAAAUGACUAAUUCAGAUUCAGAUACGACGGUUUCGAGAGUUAAUUUGGAUUUCAGGUGAUGCUUGUAUAAUGUUGAAAACAUCUCUGGACAACGUCAUAAGUUGGGGGCACCGAUACCCUCAAAAAAAAAGUUGGGGGCACCGGCAAAUGGACCCAAAAGGCCUAAUUACUCAAACGGGCUGUCAUCUAAAAUUUUGUCACAAACACCACACGCUUCCCAUGUCUGAUCCCUAGCUCGAAAAACCUGCGAGAACCUUGUUGUCCUCUCCUCACUCCUCAGCCACCUUUUAACCUACAGACAGAGACAUGACACACCCCCAUCGCCUAUAAAUAGCAGCCCCCGCAGCAAGAGAGACACCAACCAAACCCCCAGAGCCUCCCCAAGAGCAGCAAGAGAGACACCCCAGCACACCAGGCACACAAAGGCUAGCAUUAGUACGAGUAGAACAUCACAUCUCACCUGAAGAUGUCUUCCGGGUCGUCGUCUCGGAGCACCUCCCCAAGAUCCGACUCGGAGUGAACCAAGAAAGAGAACAAGAUGUUCGAGGAGGCGCUCGCCUACUAUGGUGUGAGCGCCCCCAACCUCUGGGACAAGGUGGCCAGCGCCAUGGGGGGCACCAAGUCUGCCCAGCAGGUGCGCCGCCACUUCCAGAUCCUCCUCGACGACGUUGAAAGCAUCGAGCACGGCCGCAUCCCCUUCCCCAAGUACAAGACCCAGGGUUUUUGGACCUAAAAGGUAUAACUCUCAACUAAAAACUGUACAGACAUAGGAUGCUCUGGUGUUAACAAGUUUUCAGUUGAACAUAAUUAAGCAUAACAGUUGCUGCUGUAUUUGUCUGCUUGCUGGGAAAAGUAGAUGUUCAAUGUCAAAGGCACAGCAUGCAGGGGAAUUUAUGUAUUUUUCUUUUUCUUUAGAGGUCACUUACCAUCAUGCAUGCAUGACGACUGACACCAUUAACUCUCUAUGAGCCCAAUUGCUUAACUGCAGCCACCCUGGCCCAAUUUAUGGGUGGUUUAAUCUUAGCACUACCAGACAAUUUCCCUACUUCCAAAACAAAAAGCUAGGAUGGAACUUGCAGUGUUACAAGGCUACUUCUUUUAUAAAUCUUUGGUAGAUUUUGUGCAGAUAGGCUUACAAUCUCAUGCCUACAUACAACAGAAAGAAAGAAAGAAAGAAAGAACAAGAUUCUUGUAUUUGAGUAUGAGAAUUCAGAUAGGCUUACAAUUCAAGUGUUUUCUCAACUUUUCAGGAUGAAGCAAUGUAAGCUCCAGUGGACAGUGAGCAAAGUUGUACAAACUAGGUCUCUAAGAAUGAGCUGAUGUUCUAAGAGGAAGCAAAGCAAUCAUGAAUUGGUUAGAAUAACAGGAAAGAAAGUGGUAUUGUCGAUUGUGUGUACAAAGUAUUAUUAGGUUAUGUCCAAGGUUAAGUCUGUCUCUAUGUUGUCGUAGAUUCUCGUCUACAUUCAUGAACUGCAUGUAGUUCAUUAUCCGCUUGAACCAAGUCGUCAAAUAAAAUGUCAUGUAAACUCAUGUGUUUGUGUUAUUCCUUAUUUGUAAGAAGUUGUACCUGUAGCAUAUUGUCGUCUCCAAUAUCUGGUUUAGCUGGCCACCAUGUUUAAUUUGGACUCCACAGGUUCAGAAAGCACACAGAAUCCUUGUCACCACUACCUUCCUCCUUCCUAAAAGAGAAGUCACUAAACUUUAUUCAAGAACCACAGGAGGAACCUAAUGCCAGAAUAAUCUACAGUGGUAUUACGGUAGAAUCAAGAACAGUCCUUCAGAUUGCCUAAGAUAUGAUCAUGACUCCAUCAAAAAGAAGUUGCAAGUAUUAUUUCAAACACUGCAAAGUACAGUAUAAUCAAGUAGAACAGGCUGUAUAUAUCAAGUCAAAGCUGAACAAUUAUAGAAGAUCAUGGAGCACAGGCAUGGACAUAUGACGAUUCCAUAUUGUUUCCAGCCAUAAAAAUUACACUCUUCUCUACAAGUAACAUGACAGGAUGAAACUAAACUUCAUUGAUAACAAGGCAGGACAAGUACAUCAAGAUAAAACCAUAUUAGCAACCAUAGUGGGCACAUAGACAGAGAUUUGGAUUUCGGCCGGAAUUUUCGAUUUUCCGGCGAAAUUCGGCCAUUUCGUUCAGGCCCGGUAUAAAUACAAGCCGGCCAAAAAAAUCGGCCCUUUUUGAAUUUCUGGCCCGGCCCAUGGUCGAACAGAGCUCACAGAUAUCCCCCGUUGGUAUAAAAUGCCCUACCGAAGCCUCCCAACCCUAGUUUUGACCUUGCUAGCAGAGUCGACAUAGGGGCCACUUUGGUAUAAAAAUGCCACUUUCUAGCAGAUAUCCCCCGUUGGUAUAAAAAUGCCACUUUCUAGCAGAGUCGACAUAGGGGCAAAAAAUCAGAAAAGUUCUACUGAACUUGUGAUAAAGUCCAUAAAUUGCCUUCAUAAAGUUUUGUACUAUUUUCAUAACCUUCAAAUUCACAUGUACAUAAAGUUAUUCAAGGAUUCAUACAAACUGCCAGCUAGUUAAACAUAAAGUUCUAUUAACAUCAAUAUGGCAAGAAAAAGCAUUCUCUUUUACAUACAACAAUAAAGUUCUUCAGCAAUUUAUACAAAGAGACCGCUUUGUAGAAACAAAGUUCUUUGUAAAAAGAUAAAGUCCUUCAUCAAUUUUCAGCAAAGGACGAUCCGGACAUCCAAAAAGUUCUUGUACAAAUCUGCCCAAAAAAAUUCAAUCUAUGCUGAGAACUUGGAAAUAAAGCAUGUCUAUACAAAGGGAUUUCACCUGUCAGUGCAAACAAAAUAAACUGCAGCUUAUUUUAUCAGAGAGCUGAAAGGUAGCCUUAACGCAGACAAAACUUUGUCCAGCUUGUAGUCAAAUCCCAACAAACAAUCAGAGGGCCUAAAUUGUGCUAGCCUUUUUGUGGACACAAAUCGAUCAAGGUAGCCCAUGCAAGUUCAUCACAGAGAACACAACACCAAGAUUAAACGUGGUGGAUCCAUGUGCUACUAGAUCCAUCAUGCAACAAUCAAUAUUACACUGCUGCAAAUAAAUCCUAAUCACCUUGAACUACAAAUCCAUUGGCAAACAAGAAGAGGAAAUCCCAGCUCGUGAGCUUGAGGAGGAGGCACAAGACAGCCUGUUCGUCGCCGGAUCUGGUGCCAGGAGACGUCGGGAGGCUUGGUGAGUGCGGACUUCCCAGAUCCGCAGCGAGCUGGGUGACGGCGAGCGAGCCGGGACACCGCGAGGCACGCCGUGGUAUGGAGGAGCUGAUCUGGCCGGACGCCUCCAGAUCGGGAGGGCCGCCGGCUGUGGGGGAGGGGACGGGAGGAGGACCGGCUGGAUUCUCAGAGAUAAUGGGGGAGAGAGAGAGAGAAUGGAGGCGUCGGGCAGUAGCCUAGGUAUCUAUUUGAUUUGUAUACCGACCGGUGAAGGAGGAAUAUACUUUCCAGGCCUGGGUCCAGUGGGCCAGCCAGCUCGGAUCCGCAUGUAGCUUGUGCGGUCGCGAUUGGCGUUGCGCGCGCAAAGGAUUAGGAAUCACCUUAUUCGCGAUAUAGGGAGGGAUCAGUCAUUCAAGCAGCUGGCAAACAAGAUACCAUAUACCCACUAAUGAUGGCUCACACCCCAAAAGCAUUCCCACUUUGCUCUACUUACCUUAGCUUAAUAUACUUUCUAAAAAUGAUGAUGUUUGUAGUAGUAGCCAAGGAUCUAGUUAUGGAGAGAGGCAAGUUGACCAUUUGCAUAAAUUCAGGCUGGCUAUUCCCAAGCCUCAACAUCACAUGAAUGAAUUUUCUCCAAGAAUAAAAAGCUAAUUCUUCUGUGCAAGAUAAUGUAUUCUGCACAUCAUCAGAUGCCCCUCUCUUUUCAUCAUGAGAUGUCGAGGAACACAACACUCUGUGUUCAAACUAUACCAGUCCGCCAGGGAGCAACACAUACGUUCCAUAGAAACAUGUUGGCUCCAUCUGUAUGACUAGCAGAUAUCCCUAAAUUGGUUGCUUGAUGAUUUGUUAAUCAGGUACUACAGCAAUACUCGAAUUAUAACAGCGGUUAUAUCAGAUACUAUCAUGUUUACAAAUAUAGGAAUAUAUAUGUCGUAUAUGUAUAUAUGCAUAUAUACUGCGAUGCCGUUAUUUGGAAAUUAACCCGUGCAUGAACGUGUCACUAUAAUGAACUGACAAAAACUGUCCCAUACGAGAACAGAAAUCUAAAGGAAAAAUGAGUCUAGUUUACAUGAACCCCAGCAUCUUCCUGAAAAGCUUUGCUCCGAUUGUUCGAAAUAUGAGGGGGGAAUCAUGCAUCUUUGCUAUGGCUUUUAGGCAGAUAUGAUUCCUGGGGAGAGAUCUCCGGUGGAUGGAUGGACCGGUCCACACGUCCAAAGAAUCAAUCGCAAGUUGCGCCCGCCGCCCCCCGGUUCAGUGCAUCCGAUGCAACCACCAGGACUACGUGAGCAUGCAGCAAGCAAGGGGCUGCAGGAUGGCAUUCUGUCAAUUCCCUAUCCAAGACCAUUGGAGAUAGAAAGAUAGAUAUAUUCCUUAAGUCCCUGGAGCCGGGGGGUGUUCAUCGUGUCUUUGGGAUCUGUUCGUCAACCGGGUGGUGGAGAUUGCGUGGCAUUCAAGGAAUGGAGGUUCUUAGCCCACAUCCCUGCAUCUUUUCUCUCCCAAAUGGAUGGUGUCCCUAAACUAAUGCAUGGACAAGCAAAAUUUGUUUUUGAACGAGGACAACACCCUGGACUUCUAUCUCUCUGAAUUUUGGGACCCUUUCCCGAACAAUGCAAAAAUAUUUCUUUGCACGAUUUCUCCAUCAUAAAUAUCCCAUACAAAAGAGUCAAAAGGCUGUUUUGAGGAAAAACUUCUUAGGUACUCUAAUGUAACAAAAUAUUCAGAGAUACAGUUGGUAGCGCCAUACUUAAUCCAUGGUUUCACAGCAUUCCGGACAUGGCAGUACCGCUGUUUUUAGAUGAAAUGGUGAUCAGCUCAGAUAGGCAAUGAGGGUGCAUGCAUGUUGCAUGAUAUGCUUGGCAGCAUUGGAUCAGAGGGGUUUCAGAAAACUGAUGGAAAAUGAGCAUCGAGAUCAGAGGUUUUUGGGUAUGCGCACCUGUGCAGCUCUGUCGUUCUGAACAGGAGUAUCACGUACCCUUCCCCCUGUGGGAGCCUUGAAGCCUAUUGGCCGACCCAUCAUCCAUGUCAGCAUCACACGGCCGAGACAUCGCCAUGCAUGGAGAGAUGGAUGCUCAUGCUUCCGUUUGUGAUGUGAGUAGAGCACGCAGCCUGUACGGCUGUAUCCAUUAACUGCGAAGACAGCUAGAAAUGUGUGGUGUCAAAACGUUCAAUUUGGAACCAUGUGGAAGAUGUGGCCAGGUAUAUGUAUUUGAGAACUGAAUAGCAAGUAAAAAGAAUGGCGAUCGAUGUACUAAAAUGCGUGAACUUCACAAGGAAUUUUUUUUUGAGACCAACUUCACAAGGAAUUUAACUACGAAGCAAACAAAGCUGCCUGCCAUCAUGCUCAUGCCAUGGUGCCCAAGUUAGAAGUUGGACAGUACGGCAAUCGUGGUGAGUUCUAGCCAUGUGAUCAAUGUGACUUUGCUUUCUACUUGAGAGGAGACGCACGCAUGAUGUGCAAAGCGCCGAAAGCUUACCAGGUUUCUACUUGGAGCAAGGCCAGCUAGGUGUAAUAGCUUAGCAGGGAGCCUGGGACCAAUGGCCUGAGAGGGUGCAUGCACUGAGCACCCGCCAUCCUUUUACAAGUUUAAUUUCGAAGCAGUAGUAGCUGUUGCGUACUGAUGAACAGUUGUCAAAUGCAUGCAAGCUAGCUAGGACACAUUGCAGAGAUGACACCACCAUUGCCAUUUGUAAGUGGCCAUGCAUGCAUGGGGUGCCCAGCCCAGCCCAGGUCACCUCCAUCUACCUGAGAAUAUCUCGUGGAAACCGGUGAAAACCAUGUGAAAACUAUGUUUCUGGAGUUUUGCAAAAUUCUCAAAAAACUACUACCUCCGUCCGGGAUUACAAGACCGGAGAGCCACCGCAGCUGGACCAAGGCACUUGCCCGAUCCUUCGAUCUUCUCACAAAAAGCUGCAUCGGGAGUCUCCUCUACAUGCAUGCAUCCAAUGAAUAGUCUGCAUGCAGCACAGUACUUUUAAUCCCCUGCCUGCAUGCAGCGCCUUGGCCAAUAACCAGCAGCGCUAAUAAUGCAAGCCGGCCUUUUAAUCCCGUACAACCAACAUUGGCUAGCUGGACCUAUAAUCCCGGACGAAGGUAGUGUACAUGCUAAUUUUCUAUAUGUAGGCAUGUCAAAUUUCAAGUUCAAGCACCGAUUCAUUUACUUCCCCAAAAAAACACAGCUUCAUUUACGAGGAAUAAAAAUACGAAUUCAGUAAUGACUAAUUCAGUUUCAGAUACGACGGAUUUGAGAGUUAAUUUGGAUUUUAGGUGAUGCUUGUAUAAUUUUGAAAACAUCUCUGGACUACGUGAUGAGUUGGGGGCAACGGCAAAUGGACCCAAAAACCUAAUUAUUCAAACAGGCUGUCACCUAAAAUUUUCAUCGCAAACACCACACGCUUCGAUCCCCAUGUCUGAUCCCUAGCCUCGAAAAACCUGCGAGAACCUUGCUAUCCUCUCCUCAGCCACCUUUUAACCUACAGACAGAGACAUGACACACCCCCAUGGCCUAUAAAUAGCAGCCCUCACAGCAAGAGAGACACCAACCAAACCACCAGAGCCUUCCCAAGAGCAAACAACUUCCAGGAGCCCACACCCAGCACACCAGGCACACCAAAGCUAGUGUUAGUUCGAGUAGAACAUCACAUCUCACCUGAAGAUGUCUUCCGGGUUGUUGUCGCGGAGCACCUCCCCGAGCUCGGACUCGGAGUGGAGCAAGAAGGAGAACAAGAUGUUCGAGGAGGCGCUCGCCUACUACGGCAAGAGCGCCCCCAACCUCUGGGAGAAGGUGGCCAGCGCCAUGGGGGGCACCAAGUCCGCCGAGGAGGUGCGCCGCCACUUCCAGAUCCUUGUCGACGACGUCAACAGCAUCGAGCACGGCCGCAUCCCCUUCCCAAGUACAAGACCCAGGGCUUCUGGACCUAAAAGGUAUAACUCUCAAGUAAAAACUGUACAAACAUAGGAUGGUCUGAUGUUAACAAGUUUUCAAUGUCAAAGGCACAGCAUGCAGGAGCAUUUAUGUAUUUUUUUUAUUUUUCUUUAGAGUUUACUUACCACCAUGCAUGCAUGACGACUGGCACCAUUAACUCUCUAUGAGCCAAACUGCUUAACUGCAGCCACCCUGGCCCAAUUUAUCAGUGGUUUAAUCUUACCACUAUCAGACAAUUUCCCCGCUUCCAAAACAAAAGCUUAGAUGGAUCUUGCAGUCUUACUAGGCUACUUUUUUUUUUGUAGAUUUAUGGUAUAUUUUGUGCAGACCCACAAUCUACACACCCAUUCUCCUAACCUCAUGCCUACAUAGAACAAAAGAAAAGAAAGAAAGAACAAGUUUCUUUUAUUUGAGUAUCUGUAUCUGUGUUCAGAGUUCAGAUAAGCUUACAGUGCAAGUGUUUUUCUCAACUUUUCAGGAUGAAGCAGUGUAAGCUCCAGUGGACAGUGAACAAAGAUGUACAAAGUAGAUCCCUAAGAAGCAAGAAUGGACUGUUGUUCUAGAAGGAAGUAAGGGAAUCCAGCAUUGGUAGAAUAACAGGAAGGAAAGGAGCAUUGUCUAUUUGUGUGUACAAAAAGUAUUGUUAGGUCAUGUCCAAGAUUAAGUCUGCCUCAAUGUCGUUGUAGAUUCUCGUCUACAUUCAUGAACUGUGUGUUUGUUCAUUAUCAGUAAACUGUCAUGUAAACUCAUGUAUAUGUGUUAUUUCUAAGAAGUCGUACCUGUAGCAUUUUGUUGCCUCCAAUAUCUGGUUUAGCUGGCCACCAUGUUCAGUUUGGACUCCACAGGUUUAGAAAGCACACAGAAUCAUCGUCACCACUACCUUCCUACAAGAGAAGUCACUUUGUUCAAGAACCACAGGAAGAACCUAAUGCCAGAAUAAUCUACAUCUGAGCCCACCAAUAUUCUCUGUUAAGCAUCAUUGAAUCGAGGUUGAUAUUACGGUAGAAUCAAGAAAGUCCUGCAGAUUGGCUAAGAUACGAUCAUGAUUCUGUCAAAAAAGGCUGUGUAUAUCAGUCAAGGCGGAACAAUGAUAGAAGAUCAUGGUGCACAGACAUGGACAUACAGCGAUUCCAUAUAUUUCCAUUCAAAGAAAUUUCCCUCUUUCUUUACAAGUAUUAGGAGUUCAGGACAUGAUGAAACUAAAUUUUAUUGAUAACAAGGCGGGACAAGUACAUCAAGAUACAAUCAUAUUAGCAACCCUAAUGUGCACAUAGACACACACGUCACAACAAUAAAAGCUUGAAUAAAAGCUUGAAUACAACAAUACAUACUAGCAUCACCAUCACACAUUGAUGACAUGUACCUAGCUAUGAGCUCGUGUUGUCCUUCACUUUCUUUGUCGCAGCGCCCUUGCUCUCCAGGAGGCACCACAUGUACUUUGUGAAGAGAAUAAAGCCGGGCGGUCACUAUUUCCUUUUCAGGGGAAAAGAAAGCUCGCUUUGAAUCCCCAGCAUUGUGACGCCCGCCAGAGAGAUAGAUCGCCCUGGACUGGAUUCCGAUUCCCAAUCUUCUUCCGCAACUUGACCGGGGGAGAGAAUCCGGAUCCCAGAGCUUUUGGGCUCAAUGAUUUAGAAGCUGGCCAGCCGAUGAUGCAGCAGCGGCUACAGGGCAGAAUCCAAUCCAGGCUACUUGGCAUCGAUAUAUAGGGAUCAGUCAUUCAAAAAGCUGGCAAACAAGAUACCAUAUACCGAUUAACGAUGGCUCAGACAGAGCCCAAAAGCAUUCCCACUUUGCUCUGCUUACUUUAGCAAUAUACUUUGUGAAAGAAAUGAUGUUUAUAGUACUAGCCAAGGUCCAAGGAUCUACUUAUGGAGAGAGGCAAGCUUCAACAUCACAUGAAUGAAUUUUCUCCAAGAAUAAAAACAUGUACAUGUAGAUAGAAAGUUUGUUCUUGUGUGCAAGAUAAUGUAUUCUGCACAACAUGAGAUGCCCCCUCUCCUUUCAUCCACCAAUAUGCCUUUUCAGUCGAGGGAGACAACACGGUGUGGUCAAACUAGCCUAGCCCGGCAGGGAGCAACACGCACGUUCCAAACAAACAUGUUGGCUCCAUCCGUACGACUAGGCAUCCCUACAUUUAUUGCUUGAUGAUUUAUUAAUCAAAUAAUACAGCAAUGCUCAAAUUGUAACAGUUAAAUAUAGGGAUAUGUUGUCUAUGUACACUGGCGGAGCUAUGUGUUGUGAUGCAGGGGCCAUGGCCCCCAGGCCCCAGCCCAUGGAUAUUUUGUGAAGAUACACUGUUUAGGAUGGACAAAUUAAGAGAAAUAGAGUAUUUGGCCUCUUCAGAAAAUUAUAUUUGGCUAUUUGCCCCCUCAGCAAUCCCUCGUUAGCUCUGCCACUGUAUAUAUGCAUACAUACUGUGAUCCCGUUAUUUGGAAGUUAACCCGGGCAUGAACGUGUCACAAUACUCAACUGACAAAACCUGUCCCAUACGAGAAUGGAAAUCGAAAGGAAAAUGCUCACAGAAAUGCAUGAAAGGAGUCUAGUUUACAUCAGCUAGCAUCUUCCUGAAAUGCUUUGCUCCAGUUGUUUGAAAUAUGACGGGGAAUCCUGCAUCUUUGCUAUGGCUUUUUAGACAGAUAUGAUUCUGGGGGAGAGAUCUCCGGUGGAUGGAUGGACCGGUGCACACGCCCCAAGAAUNNNNNNNNNNNNNNNNNNNNNNNNNNNNNNNNNNNNNNNNNNNNNNNNNNNNNNNNNNNNNNNNNNNNNNNNNNNNNNNNNNNNNNNNNNNNNNNNNNNNNNNNNNNNNNNNNNNNNNNNNNNNNNNNNNNNNNNNNNNNNNNNNNNNNNNNNNNNNNNNNNNNNNNNNNNNNNNNNNNNNNNNNNNNNNNNNNNNNNNNNNNNNNNNNNNNNNNNNNNNNNNNNNNNNNNNNNNNNNNNNNNNNNNNNNNNNNNNNNNNNNNNNNNNNNNNNNNNNNNNNNNNNNNNNNNNNNNNNNNNNNNNNNNNNNNNNNNNNNNNNNNNNNNNNNNNNNNNNNNNNNNNNNNNNNNNNNNNNNNNNNNNNNNNNNNNNNNNNNNNNNNNNNNNNNNNNNNNNNNNNNNNNAAAUCCCAGGACUAUGUGAGCAUGCAGCAGCAGGAUGGCAUUCUGUCAAUUCCCUUUCCAAGGCCAUUAGAGAUGGAAAGAUAGAUAUAUUCCUUCGGACCCCAGAGCCCGAGGGUGCUCAUCGUCUCUUUGGGAUCUGUUUGUCGACGGGGUGGCGGAGAUCGCGCGACAUGUAAAGAAUGGAGGUUCUUAGCCCACAUCCCUAAACUAUUGCAUGGACAAGCAAAAUUCGUUUUUGAGCCCGGGCAACCCCCCGGACUUGUGUAUCAUCGAUGGAGACGGACUGAAAGAUUCAGAGGCAUGCAUAAUUUGUUUUCUGAGACAAUUGCACUAUGCUUUGUGCUUUGGAAGUCUUUUUUUUUGUGAUUGAAAAUGACUUUUGCGAUUGAACAUGAGGAAAUUAAAUAUUACAAUCUUCAGAGAGGAGAUGCAAAACCGCAGUCGCCUGAGAUAUGUAUAGUACUAUUUUUUUAGAUGAAUUGGUAAGUGGUAACUCGCUCGGAUAGGCUACGAGGGUGCAUGAUUGGUACUUAGAAUUGGAUUAGAGGGGUUUCAGAAAAAUGAUGGAAAUGAGCACCGAGAUCAGAAGUUUUUGGGUGUGCGCACCUGUGCAUCUCUGUUUUGGAUAGGAAUAGCACGUACCCCUUCCUGUCGUGGGCGCCUUGCAGCCUAUUGGCUGAUACGCACGCCUUAUGAAGAGCUCUCUGUCAACCCAUGUCAGGAUCACACACGGCCGAGACGUCACCAUGCAUCCAGAGAUGAGAUGCUUCUGUUGGUGCAGGCGGCAUGCAUCGAUCCACGCUGCUUAGUUGCUACAGCAGCUAGCACUCUGUGUGAAAAUGUCAAAUUUGGAACCACGUAGCAAGUAAACAUGGUCAGGUAUUUCAAAACUGAAUUCCAAAAAGGAAAUACAGCGAUCGACGCAUGAUUUUCACGAGGGAUUUAGUUACGGAACGGAAAAUUCGACGCUGAAAAUUGCUAGCAUCAAAGCUGCCAUCGUGCAAAGCACCAAAGGCUUCACAGGUUUCUACUUGGAGCAUAGACUAGCUAGCUGGUAAUUUUUAUAAGCUGGAAGCAAUGGCCUGAGAAGGCGGAUGCAUCCAGUUUCUACAGCUAUGAUAUUUAGAAGAUGUGUAUAAUGUUGGAUACAACUCCAGACGUCAUGCGUUGGGAAUGCCCUCAUGCGCAUCUGGGCCCAAAAAGUAAUUACUUAGGGUGGCUGUCAGUGAACUGAUGUCAGGUAAACUUUUCAUCACACACAGCACAAACACAGGCUUUCUAUGUCUCUAGCUCAGAAAACCUGCGAGAACCACCUUGUUAUCCUCUCCUCAGCCACCUUUUAACCCACAGAAAGAGACAUCUCGGACGUGGAGUUUUAGAGCACCUGCACCCCGGCCUUGCUAUCCUAGCCCUCCAAUAUCGCUUUAAGAUCCGUGCGAUACAACUAACUUUCUAUAUGAAAUUUUCUCUUUUUUGUUUCUCUCAUAUACGACAUAUCUUGAAGUUCAAACAUAUGCAGCAUGGUAAAGCUUUCUAAGUAGAAUCUAGGAUAAAUCUUUCAGAUUUUGUUUGUCCGACAUAAAUACUAAAAAUAUGAUUUUUUUAAUCAAACAAACGUAUUUUGUAUAUUUAUGUUCGACCAAAAAAUCUGAAAGAUUUAUCCUAGAUUUUACUUAGAAAGCUUUGCCACGCUGCAUAGGUUUGAACUUCAAGAUAUUUUCUGUGUGGGAGAAACAAAAAAGAGAAAUGUACUUGUACGAAUCGCGAUGCGGGAAAUGGAUGGCUAGAUAGAGAUGGCCUGGUGCAGGUGCUCUAUUAUAUAUUUUCGGACACCCCCAGGGUCUAUAAAUACCAGCCCCAGCAGCAAAGAAAGACACCAAACAAAACCACACCACCAGAGCUUCUAUUUGAGUAUUUGUGUUCAGUGUUCAGUGUUCAGAUUUGAGUAUUUGUGUUCAGAGUUCAGAAAGACAUCAAACAAAACCACACCACCAGAGCUUCUUAGCUUCUAUUUGAGUAUUUGUGUUCAGUGUCCAAGAGCAAAGGACUUCCAGGAGCCCCCACCCCAGCACACCAGACACAAGAAAGCCAGCGUUAGUUUGAGUAGAGCAUCAGAUCUCACCUGAAGAUGUCUUCUGGGUCGUCGUCUUGGAGCAACUCGCCGAGCUCGAACUCGGAGUGGAGCAAGAAGGAGAACAAGAUGUUCGAGGAGGCGCUGGCCUACUACGGUGUGGGCGCCCCCAACCUUUGCGAGAAGGUGGCCAGCGCCAUGGGGGGCACCAAGUCCACCGAGGAGGUGCGCCGCCACUUCCAGUUCCUCGUCGACGACGUCAACAGCAUCGAGCACGGUCGCAUCCCCUUCCCCAAGUACAAGACCCAAGGAUUCUGGACCUAGUAGUAAGAGGUAUAAUUCUCAACAGACAUAGGAUGCUUUGCUUCUAACAAGUUUUCAGUUGAGCAUAAUUAAGCAUAGCAGUUACUGCUGUAUUUGUCUACUUCCUGGGAAAAGUAUUCUACGCAUGACUGUCAUUAGCAUAAUAGAUGUUUUUUUAACUCAAAAGGCACAGCCUGCAGGGGUAUUUAUGUACUUUUGUUUUUCUUCAGAGGUAACUUCCCAUCAUGCAUGCAUGACGACUGGCACCAUCAACUCUCUAUGAGCCAAACUACUUAAUUGCAGCCACCCUGGCCAAAUUUAUCGGUGUUUAAUCUUAGCACAAUUAGACAAUUUCCCUACUAUCCAAAACAAAAGCUUGGAUGCAUCUUCCUAACCUCAUGCCUACAUAGAACAAAACAAAAGAAAGAAAGAACAAGUCUCUUCUAUUUAAGUAUUUGUGUUUACAGUUCAGAUAAGCUUACAGUGAAAAUGCUUUAUCAACUUUCCAGGACCAAGCAGUGUAAGAGCUCCAGUGGACAGUGAACAAAGUUGUACAAACUAGAUCUCUAAGAAGUAAGAAUGGACUGUUGUUCUAGGGGGAAGCAAAGCGAUCCAGCAUUUGGUUAGAAUAACAGGAAGGAAAGUGGUAUUGCGAUUGUGUGUACAAAGUAUGAUUAGGUUAUGUCCAAGUUUAAGUCUGUCUAUGUUGUUGUAGAUUCUCGUCUACAUUCAUGAACUGUGUGUCGUUCAAUAUCCCCUCGAACACUAGUGGUCAAGUAAACUGUCAUGUAAAUUCAUGUAUUUAUGAAAAAAAAUCAUGUAUUCAUGUUUUUUGUAAGAAGUCGUACCUGUAGCAUUUUGUCGCCUACAAUAUCUGGUUUAGCUGGCCACCAUGUUCAGUUUGGACUCCACAGGUUCAGAAAGCACACAGAAUCCUUGUCACCACUACCUUCCUAAAAGAGAAGCCACUAAACUUUGUUCAAGAACCAGAGGAAGAACCUAAUGCCAGAAUAAUCUACAUCUGAGCCCACCAAUAUUCGCUGUUAAGCAUCCUCGACUAGAGGUUGGUAUUAUGGUAGAAUCAAGAACAGUCCUGCAGAUUGGUUAAGAGCCUAAGAUACAAUCAUGAUUCCAUCAAAAACAAGUUGCGAGUACUAAGUAGAGUAUAAUCAAGCUCAGCAGACUGUAUAUAUGAGUCAAGGCUGAAACAAUGAUAUAAGAUCAAUGUGCACAGACAUGGACAUACGGGAGUUCCAUAUGUUUCCACCAACAGAAAUUUCCCUCUUCUCUACAAGUAUCAGGACAAGAUGAAAUUAAAUUUUGUUGAUAACAAGGCAGGACAAGUACAUCAAGAUACAAGCAUAUUAGCAACAAUAAUGUGCACAUAGACACACAAGUCAUAAGGUUCCCCAAAAUACUUCACUAAUCUAAGCAGCAUCUGCCACAUUCUCAUCUAAAUUUAAUAAAAGCUUGAAUACAAUAAUACAUACUAGCAUCACCAUCACACAUUGAUGACAUGUACCUAGCUAUGAGCUCGCAUUGCCCUUCACUUUCUUUGCCGCGGCGUCCUUGCUUCCAGGAGGCACCACAUGUACCUUGUGAAGAGGAGAAAGCCAAGCGGUCACCAUUUCCUUUUCAGGGGAAAAGAAAGCUUCCUUUGAAUCCCCAGCAUCAUGACGCCCGCCAGAGAGAUAGAUCGCCCUGGACUGGAUUCCAAUUCCCGAUCUCCUCCAGCAACUUGACCAAGGGAGAGAAUCCAGAUCCCAGAGCUCUUGGGCUUAAAGAUUUGGAAUCUAGCCAGCCGAUGAUGUAGUGACGGCCACAGGGCGGAAUCCAAUCCAGGCUACUUGGCAACGAUAGAUAGGGAGCAGUCAUUCAAAGCUGGCAAACAAGAUACCAUAUACCAACUAACGAUGGCUCAGACAGAGCCCAAAAGCAUUCCUACUUUGCUCUGCUUACUUUAUACUCCCUCUGAUCCAUAUUAAUUGUCGCUGAUUUAGUACAACUUUGUACUAAAUCAGCGGCAAUUAAUAUGGAUCGGAGGGAGUAAUAUACUUUGUGAAAGAGAUGAUGUUUGUAGUACUAACCAAGGAUCUAGUUAUGGGGAGAGGCAAGUUGACCGUUCAUAUAAAUUCAGACUGGCUAUUCCCAAGCCUCAACAUCACAUGAAUGAAUUUUGUCCAAGAAUAAAAACACAUACAUGUAGAUAGAAAGUUCUUGUGUGCAAGAUAACGUAUUCUGCACAGCAUGAGAUGCCCCCUCACCUUUUAUCUACCUAUCUGCCUUUUCAGUCGAGGGAGACAACACUGUGUGGUCAAACUAGCCGCCCGCCAGGGAGCAACACAUUGCGUUCCAAACAAACGUGGUGGCUCAUCUGUACGGCUAGAAAUCCCAACAUUGCUUGCUUGAUGAUUUAUUAAUCAGAUACUACAGCAAUACUCGAAUUGUAACAAUGAUUAUAUCAAAUACGAUCAUGUUUAAUAAUAUAGGAAUAUGUCAUAUAUGUAUAUACGCAUACGUACUGCGAUGCCAUUAUUUGGAAGUUAACCCGUGCAUGAACGUGUCACAGACUCACAGUACUGAACUGACAAAACCUGCCCCUUAUAAGAACGGAAAUCUAAAGGAAAAUGCUCGCAGAAAUACAUGAAAUGAGUCUAGUUUGCAUGAGCUUAGCGUUUUCCUGAAAAGCUUUGCUCCGAUUGUGCGAAAUAUGACGGGGAAUCCUGCAUCUUUCCCAUGGCUUUGACACAGAUAUGAUUCCAGUGGGAGAGAUCUCCGAUGGACGGAUGGUGGACCAGUCCACACGCCCGCAAGAAUCAAAGCAAGUUGUGCCCGCCGCCCUGGUCCAGUGCAUCCGAUGCAAAUCCCAGGACUCCGUGAGCAAGGAGCCAGGAGCAGGAUUGCAUUCUGCCAAUUCCCUUUCCAAGGCCAUUGGAGAUGGAAAGAUACACAUAUAGAGAUAGAUAUAUUCGUUUGGUCCCCGGACCCAGAGGGUGUUCAUCGUCUCUUUGGAAUCUGUUCGUCGACCGGGUGGCAGAGAUGGCGUGGCAUGUAAAGAAUGGAGGCUCUUAGCCCACAUCCCUGCCACCUUUUCUCUCUCAAAUGGAUGAAUCAAUCAUGGUGCUCCCUAAACUAAUGCAUGGACAAGCAAAACACUAUCUCUGAACAAUGCAGAAAUAUUUCUUUAGACGAUUUCUCUAUCGUUGUUAUGAAAACCUAAGAUACUCCACCACUGAUAAUGUAAUAAAGAUUCAGAGAUGCUCAAUCCAUGCUUUAAUUCACAGUUUUCUGGGGCAUGGUAGAACUACCUUUAGGUGAAAUGGUGGGUAGCUCAGAUAGGCUACUAGGAUGCAUUCAUGACAUGCUUGUGUAGCAUUCGAGAGGGGUUUCAGAAAACUAAUGGAAAUGAGCAUCAAGAUGACAGGUUUUUGGGUUAUACACCUUGACAGCUCUGUUCUCCUGUGAGCACCUUGCAGCCUAUUGGACGAUGUGCACGCCUUAAAAGGAGCUCUCUGCCGAUCCAUGUCAGCACACACACACAGCUGAGAUAUCGCCAUGCGUCCAGAGAUACAUGCAUGCUUCCGUUGGUGAUGUGAGCAGAGCACGCAGCAUCCAUCCAUCCAUGCUGCGUAAUGGCCACAGCUGGUGCCGUGUGUAAAAGUGUUUCUGGAACCAAGAAGCAUAUGUGUGGUCAGGUAUUUCAAAAGUGAAUACCAAAAAUAAAAUAUAGGGAUCAACGUGUGAUUUUCAUGAGGAAAUUAGUUACGCGACGUAAAAUUCAAUAAUAAAAAAAUAACAAAGAUGCAUGCCGUCAUUAGCAAAACACGGAAGAAAUAAGUAUCCAAUCAACAUGUUUUUUCAUGAACCGUGAAACUGCAUGAAACAAAGCCGAACCACGUAUUCAGAUUCAGAUACGACGAAUUCGAGAGUUGAUUUCUACAGCUAUAAAAUAUCGAGACUAGAUGAAUGCCUGCCCUGAUGCGCAUCUGGACGGACCCAAAAGGCUUAAUUACUCAAACAGGCUGUCACUUAAAAUUUUCAUCACACACACCACAAGCUUCCUUCCCAUGUCUGAUCCCGAGCUCGAAAGACCUGCGAGAACCUUGUUGUCCUCUCCACAGCCACCUUUUAACCCACAGAGAGAGACAUGACACACGCCCAGCGCCUAUAAAUAGCAGCCCCAGCAGCAAAGAGAGACACCAAACCAAACCACCAGAGCUUCUCCAAGACAUCAGAUACAAGAAGCUAGCAAUUAGCUCAGUAGAAUCUCACCGGGGAAGCUUUACCUCCACCAAAGGAUGUCUUCUGGGUCAUCGUCUCGGAGCACCUCGCCGAGCUCUGACUCGGAGUGGAGCAAGAAGGAGAACAAGAUGUUUGAAGAGGCACUGGCCUACUACGGCGAGGGCGCCCCCAACCUCUGGGAGAAGGUAGCCAGCGCCAUGGGGGGCACCAAGUCCGCCGAGGAGGUGCGCCGCCACUUCCAGAUCCUCAUCGAUGACGUCAACAACAUCGAGUACGGCCGCAUCCCCUUCCCCAAGUACAAGACCCAAGGAUUCUGGACCUGAAAGGUAUAAUUCUCAACAGAGAUAGGAUGCAUUGCUUCUAACAAGUUUUCAGUUGGAGCAUAAGCAUAGCAGUUUUUUUGUGGCAUCAUAAGCAUAGCAGUUACUACUGUAUUAAAGUAUUUUUUCUUUUUCUUUAGAAGUUACUUACCACCAAGCAUGCAUGACAACUGGCACCAUGAACUAACUGUCCAGCUAUGAGCCAAAACUGCUUAAUUAAAGCCACCCUGGCCCAAUUUAUUGGUGGUUUAAUCUUAGAACAACUAGAUGAUGCCCCGCACGUAGUUGCCAGAAUAUCUGCAAGAUUUUGGUUAUAUGGAACAUGAAUAUUUGAAAUAAUAGUUUUUAAAAUUAUAUAAGAAUUAAAUUUAAUACCAUAAUAGAAUGAAAUUUUACAUGCAUGCAUGUUUGCAUGUUGAAGUGGAUUUUUAAUAUGCAUAGUUGCAUGUUGAGGUGGGCCUUUCCUAUGCAUGUUGAAUGAUGAGGUGGCAUGCUUGCAUGUUGAGAGAAAUAUGUUAGUGGGGCUAGCUAUUUAGAUAUAGAAGAUAGAAGAUAAGACAAUUUCCUUGCUUCCAAGACAAAAACUUGAAUGGAUCUUGCAGUCUUUCUCCCCUUGUACUUUCAGCUUGCAAGGCUAUUUCUAUUAUAGAUUUUUGCACAAGAUCUAGCAGAAAUCUAUAACAGAAAUAGCCUUGCAAGCUGAAAGUACAAGGGGAGAAAGACUGCAAGAUCCAUUCAAAGUGCAGCUCCACAGUGUCUAUACACCCAUUCCAUUCUGAAAGACCCAACCUCAUGCCUAAAUAGAAUAAACAGGAAAGAACAAGCCUCUUAUAUUUGAGUAUCUGUAUUUGUGUUCAGAGCAGAUAAGCUUACAGUGCAAGUGUUUUCUCAACUUUUCAGGAUGAAGCAGUGUAAGCUCCAGUGGGCAGUGAACAAAGGUGUACAAACUAGAUCUCUAAGAAGUGAGAAUGGACUAUUGUUCUAGGAGGAAGCAAGGGAAACCAGCAUUUUGUUAGAAUAACAGGAAGGAAAUGAGUAUUGUCUAUUGUGUGUACAAAGUAUUGUUAGGUCAUGUCCAAGGUCAAGUCUGUCUAUAUGUUGUUGUAGAUUCUCGUCUACAUUCAUGAUCCGUGUGUUGUUCAUUAUCCCUUCAAAUAAAGUCGUCAAGCAAGCUGUCAUGUAAACUCAUGUAUUAGUGUUAUUUGUAAAAAGUUGUAUCUGUGGCAUUUUGUCGCCUCCAAAAUCUGGUUUAGCUGGCCACCAUGUUCAGUUUGGACUACAAAGGUUCAGAAAGCACACAGAAUCCAUGUCACCACUACCUUCCCAAAAGAGAAGUCACUAAACUUUGUUCAAGAACCAGAAGAACCUAAUGCCAGAAUAAUCUACAUCUGAGCCCACCAAUAAUUCUCUGUUAAGCAUCAUUGAAUCGAGGGUGGUAUCACGGUAGAAUCAAGAACAGUCGUGCAGAUUGGCUAAGAUACGAUCAUGAUUCCAUCAGAAAAGAAUAAAGAGUAUCAUUCCAGAAAUUGGAAGUAGAGUAUAAUCAAAUUCAAUAGGCUGUGUAUAUCAAGUCAAGGCUGAACAAUGAUAGAAGAUUACAGUGCACGGACAUGGACAUAUGGCGAUUCCAUGUUUCCAACCACAAAAAUUUCCCUUUCUCUAAAAGUAUCAGAACAGGAUGAAACUAAAUUUUAUUGAUUACAAGACAGGACAAGUACAACAAGACACAACCUUGUUAGCAACCAUAAUGUGCACAUAGACACACAAGUCACAAUGUCACAAAAUGACACUUCACUAAUCCAGGUAGCAUCUGCCACAUUGACAUCUAAAUUUAACAGCUUGAGUACAACAAAUACAUACAAGCAUCACCAUCACACAUAAAUGACACGUACCUAGCUAUGAGCUCGCAUUGCCAUUCUUCACCUUCUUCGCCGCGGUGCCCUUGCUCCCUAGGAGGCACCACAUGUACCAUGUGAAGAGGAGAAAGCCGGGAGGUCACUACUUCCUUUUCAGGGAAAAAGAAUGCUCACUUUGAAUCCCCAGCAUUAAAACGCCAGCCAAAGAGAUAGAUCGCCCUGGACUGGAUUCCGAUUCCCAAUCUCCUCCAGCAACUUGACCGGGGAAGAGAAUCCGGAUCCUAGAGCUUUAGGCUCAAAGAUUUGGAAUCUGGCUAGCCGACGAUGCAGUGAUGGCCACAGUGUGGAAUCCAAUCCAGGCUACUUGGCAACGACAGAUAGGGAUCAGUCAUUCAAGCAGCUGGCAAACAAGAUACCAUAUACUCCCUCUGUAAACAAAUACAAGACGUUUAAGAUCACUAAAGUAGUGACCUAAAACGUCUUAUAUUUGUUUACAGAGGGAGUACCGACUAAUGAUGGUUCAAACAGAGCCCAAAAGCAUUCCCACUUUACUCUGCUUACCUUAGCUUAAUAUACUUUGUGAAAAAGAUGAUGCUUGUAGUACUAGACAAGGAUCAAGUUAUGGACAGAGGCAAGUUGACCGUUCGUAUAAAUUCAGGCUGGCUAUUCCCAAGCCUCAACAUCACAUGAAUGAAUUUUCUCCAAGAAUAAAAACACAUACAUGUAGAUAGAAAGUUACUUCUUGUGUGCAAGAUAACGUAUUUUGCACAAAGUGAGAUCGCCCUCUCCUUUUAUCUACCUAUCUGCCUUUUCAUUCGAGAGAGACAACACUGUGGUCAAACUAGCCUAGCCCGCCAGUAAGCAACACUUGCAUUCCAAACAAAGGUGUUGGCUCCAUUGGUUGCUUGAUGAUUUAUUAAUCAGAUAUUACAGCAAUACUUGAAAUGUAACACCGGUUAUAUCAGAUACCAUCAUGUUGAAAAUUAUAGGAAUAUGUCGUCUAUGUAUAUAUGCAUACCUACUGUGAUUCCAUAUUUGGAAGUUAACCCAUGCAUGAACGUGUUACAAUACUGAACUGACAAAAUUUGUCCCGAUGAGAAUAGAAAUUUAAAGGAAAAUGCUCGCAGAAAUACAUGCAAUGAGUCUAGUUUACAUGAGCUAGCAUCUUCCUCAAAAGCUUUGCUCCGAUUGUUCGAAAUAUGAUGGGGAAUCCAGCAUCUUUGCUAUGGGUUUUACGCAGAUAUGAUUCCGGGGGAUAGAUCUCCGGUGGAUGGAUGGACCGGUCCACACGCCCCAAGAAUCAAAAGCAAGUUGCGCCCGCCGCCCCCUGUUCAGUGCAUCCGAUGCAAACCCCAGGACUCCAUGAGCAUGCAGCAAGCAAGGAGCAGCUGCAUGGCAUUCUGUCAAUUCCCUUUCCAACGCCACUGGAAAUGGAAAAGAUGAUAGAUAUAUUCCUUCGGUCCCCGGAGCCCGCCAGGGGUGUUCAUCGUCUCUUUGGGAUCUGUUUGUCGACCGGGUGGCGGAGAUCACACGACAUGUAAAGAAUGGAGGUUCUUAGCCCACAUCCCUGCAUCUCUUUCUCUCCCAAAUGGAUGAAUCAAUCAUGGUGCUCCCUACACUAAUGCAUGGACAAGCAAAAUUCGUUUUUGAACGAGGGCAACCCCCCGGACUUCUCUAUCAUCGAUGGCGAUGGAAUGAAAGAUGCAGAGGCAUGCUUCAUGCUUUGAAAGUCUUUUUUUUACAAUUGAACAUGAGUUUCAUCUAUUAGAGGAAAUAUUACAAUCUUUAGAGAGGAGACCCAAAACCGCAGUCAGCGGAGAUAUAUAUAGUACUACUUUUUUAGAUGAAUUUGUAAUUGACUCGGAUAGCAUCUGAGGGUGCACACUUGGUAUGUAGCAUUGGAUUAGAGGGGUUUCAGGAAAAUGCUGGAAAUGAGCAUCGAGAUCAGAGGUUUUUGGGUAUGCGCACCUGUCCAUCAAUACCACGUAUCCCCUGCUCCCGCGGGCGCCUUGCAGCCUAUUGGCUGAGACGCAUGCCUUACGAUGAGCACUCUGCCGAUCCAUGUUAGCAUCACACACGGCCGAGGGAGGCAUCGCCAUGCAUCCAGAGAUGGAUGCUUCCGUUGGUGAGCAGAGCACGCAGGUGGCAUGCAUCGAUCCACGCUGCCUAAUUGCUACAGCAGCUUGCAAUCUGUGUCAAAAUGUUAAAUUUGGAACCAGGUAGCAAGCACACAUGGUCAGAUAUUUCAAAACUGAAUACCAAAAAGGAAAUAUAUCAAUUGACGCAUGAUUUCCAUGAGGGAUUUAGUUACGGAACAAAAAAUUCGACGCCAAAAAUUGCUGACAACAAAGCUGCAAUCAUACCCAUGCGGCGAUGCCAUGGUGGAGAAGUUAAAAAGUUUUUUUUCAAACUUGGUGGAGAAGUUAAAAGUUGAACACGGCAAACAUAGUGAGAGACAUGUGAGCAAGCACCAAAGGCUUCACAGGUCUCUACUUGGAGCAAAGGCCAUCUAGCUGGCAGUUUUUACUUAGCUGGAAGCAAUGGCCUGAGAGGGCGCACACAUCCAGUUUCUAUAGCUAUAAUACCCAGAUGAUGUGUAUAAUGUUGGAUACAAAUCCAGACGUCAUGCGUCGGGAAUGCCCUCAUGUGCAUCUGGGCCAAAAAAGCUUAAUUACUUAAGGAGGCUGUCAGUGAAGUGAUGCCACUUAAAUUUUUCAUCACGCACAACACGGGCUUUCUAUGUCUUUAACUCAAAAAACCUGCGGGAACCUUGUUGACAUCUCCCAAGCCACCUUCUAAGUUUAAACCCACAGAGAGAGACAUGAAACACCCCCAGGGCCUAUAAAUAGCAGCCUCGCAGUAGAGACAACAACAAAACCACCAGAGCUUCUCCAAGAGCAAAGGACUUCCAGGAGCCAACAUACUAGAUACAGAAAGCAUUAGCUCAGUAGAAUCCCACAAGGGAAGCUUUACCUGCUCCAAGGAUGUCCUCACCGAGCUCGAACUCAGAGUGGAGCAAGAAGGAGAACAAGAUGUUUGAGGAGGCACUCGCCUACUACGGCGUGGGAGCCCCCAACCUCUGGGAGAAGGUGGCCAGCGCCAUGGGGGGCACCAAGUCCGCCGAGGAGGUGCGCCGCCACUUCCAGUUCCUCGUUGACGACGUCAAGAACAUCGAGCACGGACGCAUCCCCUUCCCCAAGUACAAGACCCAGGGCUUCUGGACCUAAAAGGUAUAAUUCUCAACCAAAAACUGCACAGACAUUAGAUGCUCUGCUUCUAGUAGCAAGUUUCAGUUGAGCGUAAGCAUACCAAUUACUGCUUUAUUUGUCUACUUGGUGGGACCGUGUCGUUACCAUAGAUGUUUUAACUCAAGGCACAGCAUGCAGGGGUAUUCAUGUAUUUUCAUUUUUCUUUAGAGGUUUACCACCAUGCAUACAUGAUGACUGGCACCAUGAACUCUAUGAGCCAAACUUCUUAAUUGCAGCCAUCCUUUGGCACUUAGCCAAAGGAUUGUGGUCCAAUCCAUCGGUGGUUUAAUCCUAGCUACACUAUCAGAAAAAUCUCCCUACUUCUAAAACAAAAACUUGGAUGGAUCUUGCAGUCUUUAUCUCCAUGUGCUUUCAGUUUGCAGUGAGAUCAACAUAAGUACGCCUUAGAUACAGGACUAUCUUACUACAGAUUUUUGCUACAUUUUGUGCAACUCCACACUAUCUACACACACAUUCACCUAUCCUCAUGACUACAUAGAACAAAAAAGAAGAAAGAAAGAACAAGCCUCCACACUAUUUGAGUAUCUGCAUUUGUGUUCAGAGUUCAGAUAAGCUUACAGCGCAGGUGUCUUCAUAUUUUCAGGAUGAAGCAGUGUAAACUCCAGUGGACAGUGAACAAAGUUGUACAAACUAGAUCUCUUAAGAAUGGACUGAUGUUAUAGGGGUGUGCAAGGCAAUUCAGCAUUGAUUAGAAUAGCAGGAAGAAAAGGAGUUGUAUAUUGUGUGUACAAAGUAUUAUUAGGUUAUGUCCAAGGUUAAGUCUCUAUGUUGCUGUAGAUUAUCAUCUAGAUUCAUGAACUGCAUGUUGUUCAUUAUCCCCUCAAACCAAGUCGUCAACUAAACCAUCAUGUAAACUCAUGUAUUUGUGGUAUUUGUAAGAAGUCGUACCUGUAGCAUUUUGUCGCCCCCCAAGAUCUGGUUUAGCUGGCCACCAUGUUCAAUUUGGACUCCACAGGUCCAAAAAGCACACAGAAUCCUUGUCACCACUACCUUCCUAAAAGAGAGGUCACUAAACUUUGUUCAAGAACCACAGGAAGAACCUAAUGCCAGAAUAAUCGACAUCUGAGCCCACCAAUAUUCGCUGUUAAGCAUCGUAGAAUCUAGGGCGGUAUUACGGUAGAAUCAAGAACAGUCCUGCAGAUUGGCUAAGAUACGAUCAUGAUUCUGUCAAAAAAGAAGUUUAACGAGUAUCAUUCCAGAAAUUGGAAGUGUCAACAGGCUGUAUAUAUAUCAAGUCAAGGCUGAACAAUGAUACAAGAUUACAGUGCACAGACAUGGACAUACGGCAAUUCCAUAUCAUUUCCAGCCAUAAAAAUUCCCCUCUUCUCUACAAGUAUCAGAACAGGAUGAAACUAAAUUUUAUUGAUAACAAGGCAGGACAAGUACACCAAGAUACAACCAUCAAGAUAACAAGGCAAGACACACAAGUCACAAUGUCACACGAUGAUGCUUCAUUAAUCCAGGCACCAUCUGCCACAUUGCCAUCUACUAAAGUUGACAGCUUGAGUACAACAAAUACAUACUAGCAUCACCCACAGAUGACACAUACCUAGCUAG